ensembl:lncRNA
CUGUUAGCCCUGGUUCCUUCUCCGCCCUGUUAGCCCUGGUACCUUCUCCGCCCUGUUAGCCCUGGUUCCUUCUCCGCCCUGUUAGCCUAUUAGCAUGAACAGGUAGGAACAGCCACCAGUUGUGUGGCGGCACCACGCUCUGACGCAUACGCUAAUUAGUAAUGGGUUACCCACACGUUUUUGAUAGUCCACUUUAACUUCUACUCAUUAGAUGAAACAAAGUAGUAGCAGUUUAAAGCCUACCAUAUUAAGUAUAUGUUACAUACAGGUGGAAGAAGCUGCUGUCAAUCAAUUAAAACGCAGUAACGGGCGUUCCGGGAUUCACCUCACUGCCACAAACUCUCAUUAUCGUGAGUAUUGUUUUUUCUUUCUUCCCUAUAAUCAAAAAUGAAUCGUUUUUCAUGGCACCUAAUGUAGAACCUCGUCCCUCCAGCCGUCCCCAGAAGCUACAGCAGCCCUCCCCAUGGAGGCGGGAGCGCACAGGUGACGGAUUUGAGGUGCUACACCGCCACCUGUUGUCCCGCGCAGGCGCUGCAGUCCCCCUGCUGAGCGCCACACGGGCGCGUCCGCCGCCGCUUUCCCUCAACCCGAAGCAGAGCUGUUUUUCUCUCUCCUCUCGGAUGACAGCCGUCCUCUGCGCGCUUCAGCAGCACAUUUAAGGAGGGAUCAGAACUGCUUUUUUUCCGUGGCUGUGUUUCGCCUUGGUCGGCAUUAGUGGGGAAGAAGAGCUGCGGUGAAAGGAGAGAGACAGAGAGAGACUCCCGUCUCCAGCUGCUGGAUACCAGGUAAGAUCCUUUACCGUUCAUUUACCAGGAGAAAGGUGUCACGUUGCCACCGGCAGAGAGGCUUGUGGGGACGGAAGAUAGAGAUUGUUGCAGAGACAGCGCACCUGCUCCAAAUGAUGUAGGGUGUAAAUAAAUAUGCUGUCGGAUCAGCAAGGUGGCCAAGUGAUUCCCUGCGAAGUGGUGAUCUUGGUUAUGUUAUCAUCACAAGGCUAGUAACAAGAGUUGUUUUCAAAAUAGAUUUGGUUUCUCUAAAUGCGCAUUUUAAUACAACUUUGUUCAAUUUGAUACUGCCUUUUGCAUAUAAACAUUGAGAUAAGUCCAGAUUAAAAUACUUUACAGCUAGUGUAGUUAACCCUCCGGUAGACUACAUCCCUGCAGUGUCCUUUUCUCUGCCUCCUUUGAUAACGACAAACUUCAUGUGAAGCUGCACUCGGCGGGAACUCUUGCACCUCCACACCGAGCGGCAGGCUUUGUCCACCACAUGUCUGGGAGAUCCCUCUAUGCUGAGGAUGCUGGUACAGGGUUUCUCCUUUCUGUCACAGAAGUAUUACUGGUAGGGACCAUUGUCUGAGGUCUGUCUUUUACGAGACACAGAUCUAGAUCAGGGCACGUGCUAAUCUAUUUAGUAUCACUCAAAGCCCGGCUGUCACGGAUGCCUGCAACAUUUUUAAUAAUAGAUGGCUGACUAGAUUUGCGUGCUCGCCGCAUUGAUUUUUGCUGUUUUGAGGCUGUAAAGAGUCCUCCGAUGCAACCAAAUGACACAAACUCCAUACUAAUCAUAUCGUACAUUUUAAAAUCAUCAAAAUGUUAUAGCGGACUUUAGUCUAGAUGGGGAUACAGGGAUACCACAGAAGAAGAAAUAAAGUCCGCAGGUAAUCUUAAACUGAAAUCUCUUGGGGAAUCAUGGUCAAUUUUCAUCAGGCUUGGAAUAGAUCAAAACCAAAUCUUCCCAAAGUUGUCCGCGGGCGUCCUCUUAGGCUUCUUGUAAUUUUACAGGUUGCAAGAAAUGUAACUUUUGUUAUGUGCGCACCAAUUCUUCCCUUGAUUGUGUAACAAGUGCCAUCGCUGCCGCAUCUGGUGUCCCGUCCCACAGGAGCGCUGUGAGGCCGGGGGUCGGCUGCGGGACCAUCGAUGGUGUUAACCCCUCAUUCAUUCAGCCAGAAGCUGCAGAAAUGAGGAGGCUUCGUCCCCCGGGGAAUACUAAUGACCAUACCAAGGCGAUUUGUCUCGGCCUGGCUCACACCGCUAAGUAGGCAGGCGUGAUGUCGGGCCAGCACUUUGUGCUCAUGUUGGGGGGGGGGCUGGGUGUAGUCUGGUUGGGCGAGUGGAGGCGCCAAAGUGUGCGCUUUGAUUGGUUGAAGUCGUUCACUGUGGUGAAUGCUGCCCCCGAGGGCCAGCAGGUCUUCAAUCAUUCUACCGUUCUAAAUUCCUUCCAGCACUAUAGUUCGAAUUGGUUGAUUAUGUUGGUUAAUGUUUAGAAAUGUUGAAGAUUGCACCCACAAUUUGUUCAGACUCCACAGGGAUAUGGUCAGUCCAAAAGCUUGUAUUCAUUUUCUAUUGCAAUAGAAAAUGUUGUCUUGAACGAUGUUGUCUUUUCUAUUGUUCUGAUUUGUCUUCUAAUCCAAGACAGAUUUUUGUCUGUCUGCUUUUACCAAGUAAUGCUGGGUAUUGAGCCUGAAUCAAUAUUUUGGUUGACUGACUGACUGAAGUGUGUGCAGAUACCAAAAAUGUCUCCAAAUUGUGGAAUAGUAAGGGCGUGGUCAAAAAAAUCAAAUUUCCUAUAUUUUCCUGUGCAGUGGAAAUAAUGCAAUUACCGUUAGCGUUUGAAAUGAGUAGCGUGACACUUCUCAUUAGCUUGGGGGUGAUGCGAUGGGGUGCAGGUAUGUGUUUGGGUUUUACAGUUGAUUAAUUUGAUUCAAUAGAGCCCGGAGGACUUGACCCGCAUCUCCAACUUAGUCCCUCAAUUUAUCCCUCUAUUAUCUCUAGCGCUCCCAUCACUUGCUCCUUCCAGUCUUCUGCACCGCUUUGAUCAUACUUCCUCUCAAACUCACCCGUUCCUUCCUUGUCAUCAUUAAAUUGCUGGCGACAUGGAUGUAACACCUUACUCUCUGCUCUUCCUUCCCCCUACGAUCUCUCCUCAUUGCCUCUCUUUCAAGUCCCAGUUUUCACUUUACAGCUUCUUUUUGUGCCCUUGGGGCGUGUCUGCGUCGCAUCACAAGGGUGCCGUUUCACAGAGAUCAAUGACUGCUGAAGAUAUUUCAUUUAAAGUGUCGGAUUGAAUUAGGGUGGGCCUCCGGACGAGGGUUUAACGGCCUUGAUGGAGAGCCACGGCGUGUUCUCCCAUCACCAUCGAUAAGAUCCACUGUUAUUUUAGUUGGGGGAGUUGCGUCUGAUUUAAUCAGACCCUAAAUAGUACCUGCUGGGACGCCUAGUGAUGCUAGUUUCGCGUUUCGAAACGUUCUUCUGCCACAUCGUGCAGUGAAUCCAGGUCAAACUAUAUCCGCUGCUGUGUUUGUGAGGUGCUCACGGAUGCUCAAAGAGUUGAUUGCAAAGUGUUUCUGAAGCCAGUAACGAGUUUGAAUUAAAGGCUGUUUCUAAAAGGCAGAAUGGAAGACAUAAGCUGUGUAGAAUCAAAGAGGACGAGGUGCAGGACACAAACCGCUUUUCUGGGGAGCAGCUCGCUUGUGUCUCCACACAGAGAGAAUAGGCAAUGAUGGUGAGACUCGGAGAGGGUAGAAGGGGGACUAUUUGUCACCAGUGAUUGUUAGUGGCGGACAGCUUCAUGACACUGAUGGCCUAUGAAGAUGCUCUUUGAGCAUGCCGAAUGAACUUUCCCUGGCAGAUAGUCCCUGGGCAGCCUGGAGCUGUGGAAAACCUCUCCAGUACAAUGAGGGACAAGAUAUAUGCUCCUUGAAAUCGGGCCCUGCAACACUGGAAGGAAACAGGUAAAGGGAAAAACAGGUGGUAGGUGAAACUUCUUUAGUUUGUCCUCGACAGGGCUUAACUUUUUUUUUUGUCUUCAUACAUAUUUACGUAUACUACAUACAAGCCCAGUGGAUCAGUCGCUCAUUUGUGUUUUUUUCUCCAUAUUAUUAAAGCAUUUCUGAGAUUAGCUUGGUGUAAAAAUCAGGUACUUUUAAUUAACAGUGCCAGAUUGGUUUUGGGGGGAGUUAUCGCAAUAAAUCUUAACAAAGCGAAAUUUGUCUUCAUAUUAAGUUUUGCCGGGUUGCAGCACGAGAGCUUUAGGGAUCUCUUUGGAUCACAUGUCCAGACUGACAUGUAUAACAACUGUUGACUUGGAUUGUAUUCAUAUUUAAUACCCCUGAGGAUUAUUCCAAAUGACUUGAUGGUCAGCCCCUUACUUGUUGCCCCAUCAUGUCGUAUGUUUAAUUUAUCCAAUAAGAAACUCAACGAGGUACAAAGACAAAAGCCUUUAGUAACCUCUGAGCAAGUAGAUCCUCACCAUCUGCUGCCAGGGCAGUAUUUAAACUUUACUAACUGACUAGAUGUGCACUGAUUGGUUUUGGUUAUUCUCUUCUUUUAAAAUUAGACUGCUAGUUGACUAAUAGCAUCACGUAGAGGUUUAUAAUUCAAAUUGGACAUCUGCAGUGUCCAAUUUGAAUCUCAGGCAAAAAUAGAUGACAAACUGCUAAAAAAAUGUCCAGUCUGCUUGUUUGGAUACCAUCCUUUAUUUUUUAUCUGCCCAUGAAUCCCCACGCUCCUUGUAGACACCUGACACGACCCUACUGUCUCUACCACAUGUCUCAAACGGACGCUGUCUCUUUUGACCUUCCCCGGGUCAAAGGACCAAUAGAGUUUGUUGUCUUUACCUGCAACAUUCAACUCCAGCUUCACACAAUCCUGCACAUUGACAGUCUGCUGGAAAUACAGCCUGUUCUGGGAGAUGUGAACUGCCUAAUUCUGUUGUCCAUCACAGUUCUACAGGGCUCUUGUUUUGAUGCCCUUAAAACCGGGAAAGGCGAAGUUCCCGGGGUUUAGGUUCAAAGUGAGUGCAAAGGGUGGUUUUGAUCCAGUCCAUCUGAGGCAUGAUGGAGUCUGAUGUUAACAUGCUGCUGCAGUUAAGUAGUGCUGACUGGGCGUGUUCCAUUCGCCUGAGUAGCAGGGCUGACAGCCGAGGCUUUCACUUCCAUGCCUAAAAUGCAGAUUGACGUGGCGGGAACAAGCUACAGCUGAACGGCUACAAGAAAAAUCUGAAGCUCAUCUUGGAGCUUGACGCUGCAUAGGAAGAGAUGACAAGGCCGGCAUCCACUUCCCCUCAACGUGGAGCCACUUUUCAAUCCUGACUUGUGCUAAUAGGUUAACACGAAACGUGGUGCGCCGCACCAAUGGCACAAAUCUGCAUUUUUAUGUCAUUUGCAUUGAGAUUGAUAACUCAUCGGUUUGAAUGUGGCAGGCCGAUAUACAUCAGACCCAUUCAUCUCCCCGCUCAUUCUAAGCUGAGUUUGACAUUGAAGCGGCUGCAUAGUAAACCCAGGAGGAAGGAGACUCUGGCUCGCAGCAUACAGAUUCUUUGCCCCCUCUUUGGGGCAAAUGGGAUGUGAUGAAUGGCACGGCGGUUUAAUGAUCUUGUAACUCAAAGGCAAGUGCUGAAACAGGUGCAUUAUGUGCUAAACUGCAGGGAGAUGAGAUAGACUUCUGCUGUAAGCUUGCAGCGUUCUCACGUGAUUCCGCCUCAAUUAAAGGACUGAUCCAUGGAGUUAAGGGGAUAAGGGAGAAGUCAUACUUAUUGGAUCACCCUAUACACCCGCGUGCAAAAAAAAGGAAAGCCUUCCCUGCUGAUCUUCCUCCUCCUCUUUUACAAACCUGCAGCCGAGUUCGGCACGUUGCUGUGACUCCCUUACACUUGCAUCAUCAACAAAGCCCGGUCCCUAUCACACAUCCAAUCCCAGGGAUGCUUUUGUUUCUGCGAACCCCAAAUGUUCUGGCAGGGAUCUCCUGGCGCACGCUCGCCACAUCAAUGGAUCAAAUAUUUUCCCACUACAUCUCCUUUGGACCUCUUGACUCGGCGGUGUGUUGGACGGCACCGUGAACACACUCCUUUUACCUUCCUGCCGUCUGUCUUUCUCUGCAUGUGAAGGUAGCAAAGCCCAAAGGGGAAGCACUAAUCGGCACAGUGCAAAAUACCAUCAUGAACGUACCCACAAGACUUCUCCGAGCUGCGGCUAUUGUUUGCAUGAAAUUAAAUUAGUAUUUGGAUUGAAUUCUGCCUAGGCAACUUGCUGUGUGUGUGUGUGUGUGUGUGUGUGUGUGUGUGUGUGCACGCAUGCAUGUCUUGAGGAAGAUUUGGCCGCGGCGCCAGGCCAGACAGAGAAUGUUGCUGACACAAAGAGAAGGCAACCGCUUUCUCUCCUCGCACAACCGUCAGCAUUGCAUCAAUCGUACCAUCAAAGCAUUGGCAGGCUUGGCCUGGUAAACCGAAGGGGGCUUGCAUGAUUCAUGUUUCCAAGGGGUUAUGUGAGUUCACUUUAAGUUAGCGACGCCACGUGUUAACGCUUCCUUGUAGGUUUCAGAGCGCAAGCUGCCUCGUAGGUGCCAGAGGAUGCUCUGUUAGGAAUGAAGGCAGCUUGAGGCUGCAUGGAAAACCACUGAACUCAGAGCGUGUUAUUUAGUCUCACUGCUGUAUGUUAACGCGCACACACACGCACUAUUCGUAAUAUCAUAGAUUCUACAGUGGCAUGAGGACUUUUUCCAGUAAAUGGAGGUAGAUGUAAUCUAGACUAUCACCCUUGGGAGAAGGACUGAUGGGAAGAGGGCCUUAUUUUUAGGGAGGCAUGGCAUGCACAUUAUGUUUAGUCAGUAACACAAGACACAAUGAGUACACCAAAGGAAAAGUCAGUUUUCUGUGCUCUGCAGGAGGACGUUACCGCGCUCCAUGUUUACAGAGGUAAUAGCUGUUGUCUUUUAAACUAAUGAUCUGAACAUCAGGCAGAAAAAUGUUAACGCAGUUGCGUCUUUGAAAGCGUAUUUGGCUAUCGAUACACAAUGACCAGAAUUGAGAGGGAUGACCCUGACCCAGGAAGUAGUAAGUAAGUAAUACCUACUCAGGGUAGAAAACUCAUGGAACUCUGUACGCUUUAGCAAAAUCAUCACUUGAAUUUCUCAAUUCACAAGAGAGCAACUUAUGUGCCGGGAUAGAAAGCCCCGUCUAUCAAAAGCUUUAUGUAACCUCCGCGUUUGGUUAAUGUGGCCGUAUUUGCUCAAAAGAUGUAAAAAUGGGCACAGAUGCAGCACUGCACAGGCCCAAGGGCAGCAACUCAUGCAUACCGAAUGAACUCUAGUUUGUUUAUAAUUUCCCUCUCAUUUCAGUGGUGUUAGUGCUGAUGUCCUCUGGGUCUAGACAACACUGGAAACACUUUAAUCACCGACUGAUACUCACUCACACACACACACUCACUUUCUUUGCUUGUCAGUAGAUACUCAUUGCCCAUUAGGCUCCUUCCUUAGCUAGAUGUGCCUCACUUUAAGGAAAUUACCCAUGUAGCUGAGAGAGUUUUACAGCAUAUAAAGUACACUAGACACCUUGCUCUUAUUGCAAGCAUUGCUGUUCUUCUGAAAAAUAAUGUUUUCUGUCAUUGUCAAGAAAAACCAUCUCAUAAAUUCAAAGUGACUCUAGUGAUCAAUCAGCGGGGUACUUGUGUGUAAUUACUCAGUGGUUGAGUUGUCUCUCUGUCUCAGAAUGUCUUAUUUUGUAGCUCUCCUCGAAUUUUUCUCCAUGUCUUUUAGUGAUAAACCUGUUAGUUUGUAUUGUAUGCAUGUCUUCAGUUAGCCCAGCUCUAAAAUCUACACUAAGAUUAUGUUGAAUGAUAAGAUAAGAACAUCGCAAAAUCAGUAGCUUCAACUAUUUAGUAUUAAGUGCAAUAGAAGGAAUAACCUCACCUUCAUUUAAAGCAUUACUCUUUUAAAACCUUUGGAUUGAUAGCUGCGUCAUUAUCACCUCUAUCAAUAAUUAAUCAACGCAAUUUGGGUACGGCAGGUUAACCAGGUUACCCGGUGUAGAAUAUUUUACCGCUUUGAUUUUAUGCUAACCGCUAGCCUACAUGAGCAAGUUGUACUGCAUUAGCAAUGUGAGCGGCUUUUCAUAGAUGGGUUUUUAAAAUCAACACAUGGAGCUUCCAGUUGAACUUAAUCCUCAAUGCAUUUUUUCUGUAUUCUUCUUUUUCUCUCUCCUACCACUUCAAAUGUGUAGUUGUAGAUCUGAAGAGAUGUUUGUAUUUGUGUGCUCGCCUUCAGUUCUGUUACGACACAUUUUGAUCCCAACCUGUAAAUCUAUCGGAUCCCAAUACAUUUAUCUACCCAGUUUUUUGUGCACGGCAGCUCUAACCAUUUACAUCAGCAGCCUUGCUCUGCUUCCUGUCCCCAACUUUUUGGAUUGAGUCCUGUUUUUAAAAUCGCCUCGAAACAAAAGGGAAUGAAGUAAUUAGGAGUUGUGCGGUUCUUAACACAGCAUCGUUUCCCUGUAAACCACCAUGAAUGACCACAUGGAGCGAGGGCUGUGUGUGGUGUGGAGGAAGCCUCUGCCAAGUGGGCGCAUGCCAGCGCGUAACAAUGUGGCCCGCUGAUAUGCGUCUUUGGCCAGGGAGUUAAUAAACAAUGGAGCAGACCUCUGACGGUCAUCACAUGCUUCCUCCCCCCCUCUCUCUCUCCCUCUCCCUCUCCGUCUCCCUGCUACCGUUUACCGGCUGUUUUGUCAGAGCUGACCUGGACGGCCCUACUUCACCUGGUGACCUUGUUAAAUGUAUGUGGCUGGUAUUUGCUUCUUGUACACAGUGUGUCCCCCUGCAAAUAGGCCGGUAAAACAGGCAGGACUUGUUCAGCAUGUCUAUUUACACCCGUUUGUUAAACAUUAACAAAUUACUCUCAGGUUGGUUGAACGAUUUCUAAUUGCAGUAGUAAUUAGUGCCAAAAUGUCAUGUUUGAGGAAUUUGCCGGGGAAUUUGGCAAUAUAUUGCAUUUGGGGAACAAAAAGAAGGAAUACUGUAGCAUUUUGACAAAGCUUUGCUUAUUGGAUUGAUACCAAUGUCAUAUCUGUCCAUUGAAUAAGAAUAUUCAGCCAGAAGAGGAUCAGAUUAUCAUAGAGAAGGACUGUCUUUCCAAAGGUUAAAAACAAUAUUCUUGCUAUCACCUAAAGCAGUCCAAUCAAAAGAUUAUACUUUUCUUUAAUCUCUACAUACUUAUGACGCUUUUGAGACCCUGAUCUAAAUCUUUGUAAUAUUUCUGUGAGACCAAGCUGAAGCUUUAUAUUUACCUAAAUGUUAAAGUCUGACAUAUUGAAAUAACUGGUUCAGCUUAAUUCACCAAUGUCUUCUUCUUUCAUCAUUCCAAAUACUGACCUCUUAUCAAGUUACUCAGAAGUUAAUAAAUGUAUUAAUGCCAGGCAGAGAAUAAAAGCCUCUCAUAGGGAACUUAGGGAACAUUUGGGGGACAUUUUGUUGCUAUGAUGUACUUAUGCUACUUUUCCCUAUUACAUCCAUUUGAAUUGCUGACAGCAAAUGAAAGCCUGCUGUCAAUCACACGUCAUUUGUCUUGAGGUGACAAACAAACCUAACAAACUCUCCGCUCUUUCAGUCUGUGUUUCCUUUCGUCUUGUCUCCAGCCUUUUAUUCCCAGUGCAUGACCAAACACACUUGCACGGAGGGUUGAAGUCAUUAGAUGCACCGAUCAAUCCAUUGCCACGGCGAGAACCCGUUUAGUCGUGAAGGCUGGAACACAACAUUAGAUAUUUUGACGAGGACAUUUUAUGCUUGCAACUUGAGGGAAUGUGCCUGACGAUCAGGUGACCACUGAAUCAUCUCACGCCGUGACGCUGUCUUUGCUGCUGCAUGUUGCUGACGUCAUUUAGCUGCUCUCGCUCCUGCAGGUUCUGUUUUUAGUGGUUUUCAGGAAACUCGCAUACCUCUCAGGUCUGUCUUUAAAAAAAAAAAAAGUAAUGUAAUCAUUUUUUGUGCUGGUGAGGCCGGGUGGUUGAGCGAGAGGCUUCCCAUUACUGUAUUCGGUCACCACAUGUCAGUUUCUGGAUGCCAGGCACAUUUUAUUCCCCUGGCUGGAACAUGCGCCGGAAUGAACCAGUAAGCCCGUGUUUCUGUUUAGUUUUUCACUUAGUUCAAUCACUUUAUAAAACAAUCCGGGUUGUAGAUGGAGGGACACAUCCAUGAUUGUGUUUGCUGCUCACCAUGCCACACACUGGAGAUGCAGCCAUUUUCCCAAUAAGUCUUCCCUUAACAAUUUAAAGUGGGAGGUUUUCAACUGUGUCACCGUGGCAUUAUUGCUCCUAAGUCCUGUGUCACGUUGGCGAGUGUCCGGUCGAGAAAGAGAGGGCAUUAUUGCUGUGUGCUUAGUAGUUAAUUAAUUUCUCUAAUACUUUUCUUUGGUUAACGGGAAAAUUAGGAAUCAUUAACAUUCCUGUUUUGAAUCCUGAUCCUUUGAUGAUCUUGUACACCAUUCCAAUGUUAUGCAGCGCCUUGGUAGACUGGACAACACAGUGCGAGCUACAGCUGGCCUUUGGAACUUUGCUCCAUGGGGGGGCAAUAAGAUAAAAACCAUUAUCCCCAUAAUUUAGUCCAUUUGUUAACAGAAAGCUAGAUAUAUUUUCUGGGCAUUGGUGUUAUUAGCCACUCAAUCAGGAAUCAGUAAACAUUUAUUGCCAAAAUAUGUCAAACAUACAAGGAAUUUGUCUUGGCGGUUGGUGCGUGACAGUAGAAACACUAGACAACAAGGCAGCAGUGCACAAGCAAUAAAAUAAAAAAAAAUGAAAUGCUAAUACAAUGGGUUAGUAGAAUAAGGCUAUGGGUUAGUAUAAAACAAGAGAAUAAAGUUAAAAAUUAAAAAUAUUAAAGUAAAAAAAUAUUAAAAAAUAAAGUGCACUAGCGAAAAAGUGACGAGUGACAACAAAGUAACGAGUGACGACAAAGUCCCAUCCAUCCAUUGUCAAACCGCUUAUCCUGCACACAGGGUCGCGGGGGGGCUGGAGUCCAUCCCAGCCAACUUCGGGCGAUAGACAGGGUACAUCCUGGAUUGGUCGCCAGCCAAUCGCAGGACUACACAGAGACACCAUUCACACUCACAUUCACACAUCUACGGGCAAUUUAGAGUCACCAAUUAACCUGAUCCCCAGAGCAUGUCUUUGGACUGUGGGAGGAAGCCGGAGAACCCGGAGAGAACCCACGCAGACACGGGGAGAACAUGCAGACUCCACACAGAAAGGCCACUGGGUGGAAUCGAACCCAGGACCUUCUUGCUGUGAGGCAACAGUGCUAACCACCACGCCACCGUGCCGCCCCGAGUGACGACAAAGUAACGAGUGAAAAUGUGCAGUAUGAAGCAGAGUGACCGGUGGAAUGUCACAGUCAGACAGUGGGGGACCGGGCUCUGUUGAUGAGCCCGACUGCCAACGGGAAGAAACUAACAAAUAAUGAAAAAAUGAAGCCUCUGAGCCAUUAAAUCGAAAAAUGUUUCCGCAAAGCCCUGAUGUGAUGCUGGCAGUUGGAAAGGCGUGCCGACAAAGGAGCAGGAGAGGGUGAGCCUGUUUGGCCGGCCAGGCCCACAAUGCUUUCCUGACCGACAUUCCACUUUUACAGUUAAUAUAUUUUAUUAAAGAAUACAUUUCCUAUGAUUACAAUGCAAGAUGCCAAAGAUUGAAAGUUUGACUCCUGCUGGGUGUAGUUUACGACUCUGCAGUCUCCCAUCCAAAAGAAGUUGGAAAUAAGUGGUUCUUUUUAAAAGUUUGGUUGAUCAUCUAUUGGUCUGCGUAGAGGAAGCGAGGAAACUACAGCUUAAAUGUGAAUUGAUUUCCUCUAUAACUAAGACUCCAUCCUCAGAAACCAGGACAUAAUCCUUACCUCCAGCUGGGGAGUAUACAGUAAUAAGUUGUACCAUCUUUGGAAACUAUCUCUUUGGAAUUGCCUCUGGUUGUAGGAAUCUGUCAGGGGUGCGGGUGGAAGGCAGGACUCAAAUGCAGACUUCUCCGAAACAAAAGACUUUAACAGUCAAAAAACACAGGAACCGGGGGCAAAAGCACACAGGCAAGAAACCACGGAGAUCCAAGACGAGAGACAAGAACAAGCGUGGCGAAAGACAAUGACGCGACAAGUGACAACAGACACACACGGUUUAAAUACACAAGGGAGGUGCAGGUGAUUGGCCACAGGUGGAAACUAUUAGACGAUCACAGGGGAUGACGGGACAAGACAGGAAGUGAAGUUACCCGGGGACACGAGUGGCAGAAAACUACAAAAUACAACAGGAAGUGAACCACACCGUGACAGAAUCGCUCAUCGUAUGUAGAGGAUCAUUCUAAUUAUAUUAUCCUGGAAAACUGCAUCUGCGGUGAACAUGUAAUUGCUGUGUUUAUGCAGCUUACCAAUGGCCUGGCACGGGGCUCAGAAUAUCUGACCCAAACAGUGCCUUGAUCUCCCUUCUGGUCAUGAAUCAUCAUCAUCAUCAUCAUCAUCACGUGGAUAAUCUUUAAUAUUCCAAUCUUUCAAUUCAGCUCAGAAUUCAGAGCUCAGGUUAUUCUAGAAAAGGUGCAGCGUCCAUAAAGUGCUGGUCAGAGAACACUGCUCGUUCUUAUGAGCUCUCAUCAAUGAGUGGUGGCCCUUUGAUGCAUAAUGCAUGAAAGUCAGAGUGACUGUCACCCAGGUUAGCAGUAGCCCUUCUUGUCAACCUUUCAUGUAUAUUUUAAAUAUUUCAUCAAUGGCAUUUAAUAGAUGCUCUCAUCCGGAGCGAGACGCUGAGCUCAAUGGGGCUUAGUUCAUUAAUGAGGUUGCUCAUGGAUACAGGCAUUCAGUUAUCUGAUCUGAGACCAUUCAGUUGUAAGACCGUGCCUAUACCCUUUGUGAUAACUUGAUGCUCACCCGGUGGGGACUUCUCUCCCACUCGAGGGGCCUUUUUCUUCAAAAUGUUGUUUCCUGAAACAUAGUGGCAGAGGUUUUUAUUAGAAAUUGCAUGGCAUAAAAAUGAAGAAGCAAAAUCUUGGUUGCGUUCCGUUAAUCUGCCUCGUUAUAGAUGUUGUCAAAUACUCAGAUUCUUUAAGCUUCUCUGAGGGAAUGGCGGAUUAUGUCAACUGUAUAUAUACUGAACAUUGCCAAACUGCUUGUUCCUCCCUCACUGAGAGCAAAACACUCGACAAGAUCACGACUCUUUGCUGUCCUUGCUCCUAAAUGGUGGAACGCGGUCUCUGAAGACACCAGGACCCCAGAAAGCCCAUCUUCAUCCACACACCUCUUCAGACUAUACAUUGAGUGAAAAGACUAACAAAUUGUAGCACUUAAAUUGUACUUAUAAUGGCUCUUAUCUAUAGCAAAUUGUAGAUCAGCUUAUUUCAAUCCGGAGAGACUUGUUGAAAUUUGAACAAUGCUUUAUUAUAACAGGUAUAAUAUGAUAUUGCAAGUUGUUUGGGGCUUGGACUACAUCCUGCCGCAGGAUAGACCUGCCUAAGCUAAGCUUCAUUUAAUGAAACUGUACUUUCUUGUUUCUUCUUUUGUGUCUGUAUUCUUAUGGUUGAAAUGCACUUAUUGUAAGUCGCUUUGGAUAAAAGCGUCAGCUAAAUGACAUGUAAUGUAUUGUAAAGUUGAUUCGGUGUGUAAUUUUAAAACUUUACAGAAGUGAGAUUUAAAGCUGUUGUUCUCUAGUCCCAGUUUGUCACAUACAAAUGGUUUCCAUAUUUUUAGUCCUUAGUAAAGUGAUUAUUUUUCUCUAUUGACUUUUGAACAAAACAAUGCAUUUGAAGACACCACUAUGAGAUAUUUUUUUGGACGAUAAAAAAUUGUUAUUUAAAUUGUUAGUUGCUUCAAUGUUGCAAGACCCUCCCAGUUAAACCUUUACUAUUUCUAUCAUGUCAACUUGUUAAGCAUUCUGAUAGUAUUUCUGAAUCUGGAACUAUGGUUAGGAUGAAAAGCGUGCAAAGCAGGUGGUUUGGAAAAGAUACGAUUUGAUAUAUUUGAAGCUAGAUUCAAAUUAUCAGCCUGAUGUUAGUCAAUGUAUCCAUGUAUCCUAAAAUAUGCAUCACUAACGUUCAACAUUUAAUAUCAUCAGCAAAAAAAAAUGCUCAAGUAAUUUUUGACCCCCCCUUUGUGGUGAUCUGAUCCGUGAUACGAUUCCAAACAUGAGUUCAUGAUCGGUUGCACCACUUAAAAAUGUAGGUAUCUGGAACCAGGCUCAUUGGAACUAAACUUUUUUUUCUCUUGUUUUUCUUGCCUAAGAAAAGGAGCUCAAUACGAAUGUACGACCUGAUUCCCAAUGCUCCAUCUUAGCCUGUAUCAGUUUAUGCUCAUAGCUGAUAUUAGGAAAAAAAGACUAUUUAGUUGCUUUGUAUGAACUCAAAAGGGGCGGUUCCCCACUCGUCUUCACCAUCAGCAGUGACUCUCACUUAGUGUAUGCUGUAAGCGGCAGACGCUCCCGCCCACGCCACAGUGCAUCUCCACUGAUUAGCCGCGGGCUCUCAUCUGGCAAAGGCACCUAGCGAGGCAAUUUGUCCUGAGCCCGGGUCUGCAGCCGUAUUUGCCCAGCCACAGUGUGCGUUGGCCUCUUCGGCAGAGCUCCAUAUGUGACAGGAUGUGUGCAACGGUGGCCGGGAAAGCAAUGCUCAGCCAUCUCCAUGCAACAUUCAUAAGGGGGGCGUUGGCAUUAAGGUUCGGAGGGAUGAGGGCAAUUAGUCCUGUUUCCGUUCACUUCUUUUUUUUGUUUUUUUUCAACACUGUGGACAAUGUGGACAGAAGGCACUCCUUUUGAACCGCCAGGUCCAACCGAAGGCGCAAGGACAAGAGCGGUCCAAAGUGGCAGCUUUGCGCUUCACUUGCAUGUCCAGGUCUACGCCCCUUACACAGAUCCUGUAGAGCCAACACAGCCUGGAGAGAUUUUCUUUUUUAAUGUUAAAACACCUCAGAGAUCCUUGGGUUGAACUGGCUGUAUAUUUUUCUAAAAGUGGCCCCCAGGUGCAAUAGAACUGACGGGUUCAAUAUGUGUCCUCUCGCCCUGAAGUGCGUCAAAGCCGUAGGAAACGUCAUAAAGCUUCCCACAGCAAAUGUGCACUGAUUCUUUGUGUGCAGUGAUGACAUUCUCACUUGUCAGUCGCGGUGACGCGGUGGUUUUCACAGCUGUGUAAUGUAGAACACUUGAACUUUUUAACAGUGCUGGAAACACCUGCCACAUUGCAAGCUUAUUUUCAACCUCAACUUGUAUGAAAGUUUGGCUGGCGCAGAAUUGCAAAACCAUAGGCAUCCACUAUGAAGUAGUGUUUAUGGGAUUUUAAAAAGGUAAAAACCUUGGAACAAUACACCAAUACUUUUUCCGACGCCCGCUCUCUGUCUGCUGUUGGGAGUGGGCUCACACCUGUGUGUGCGAGCCUGUGUGUUUGCCACAUGGCAAGGCAUUAUCUUCCACCUCCUCCCUUGAUUUAUUAUCUGUCUCAAAGCAUUGUUCUGAUUUUUCAUUCACACCAUCUGCCAGCUGCAACCUUGAGGUCCAUGUGGAAUGCAACAGGGUUUGCAUUCAAGUAGAUUUUCCUUUCUUGCAGAGGGAAGAGUUUGGAUUCACUCUUAAGUUGUGUGUGUGUGUGUGCGCUCGCUCGGGGCUUCAUACCCCUUCAUUUUUUUUUUGUAAGUCUGCAGGUUGCUAUGAAACAGUGAUGAAAUCGCCAUCAGUGAGUCAUUUGCUGUAAAACGUCUUCAUCUUUUCAUCUUCAUCCUCAUCUUCAUAUUCUCGUAUUGUGAGAGUUGGCUGAUAACUGAUAACGGGGAGAGAGAAACGCUGCUCUUGCUGCAGCUAAUGGUGAAUUUCACAAGUCACAGUUCAGCUUGCAUUCUCCCCGGCCCUUCAUCUCUCGCUCACCUAAUCAGCUCAUUCAGUCCGUUAGCCACUGCCACCUCAUCAGCUCAAUCACUCACCGGCCAAGUUUGCUGCACCUACUCCCUUUUAGUGUUUAAACCCUAGGCUGGAUUCGAUUGGUCCUAAAAAUGACCACCUAACGUCUAUUCCUAACCACUUUUCCAUGUCACAGGCUCAAGGAAAGAUGGUCAGGAGAAUCCAUGAGGAUUUAGGGUGUUUGCUCUGGGUUUGCAACUUCAGGGGGGGUAAUAGUCGGGCGACCGGUUUGGCCGACGGGGGUUGGGGGGUUAGUCUGUCUGCUGGUGUUACAUUUUUUUUAUUUUGCCGCCGUAGGUCUUAUGCCUGGAUGGAAGAUCUAAAGGGUUAUGACCUCAAGGUUUCUCUAGACACAAGCAGCACUGACACACUGGCUGACCUGAACAUGUGUUCACCUCCUUUGCUUGGACAUAAAAACAUCAGCAAUGUACAAUGUACACUUUGUCUAGCUCAAGUAAAAGCUGAUUUGAUUAUGCAUGACUGCAACUUUACGAAUAAAUGAAUGAUGAUUAAAUGAUAAUGCACAGACUCAACCAAAGCAUUUCCUUUUUAGAAAUGUCCGAUCGUGGGUAAACUAUGGUAUUGUGCAGGGAAUGGGUGUCUUCAAAUCACAAAGGUGAAACUUUGAUGUAAAUGGUUGUUCCGGGUAAGUAAGUUACUGAUGAAGGGAUGGGUGGCGUGCAGCCUUGGUGGUAUCGCAGACUGGAGCUUCAGCACACAUUAUGACGUCACGCUCCAGACAUGACACAAAUUCUAAGCUAGUCGCUUAGCAAUGCGUGCGGGUGCUCCGCAGCAAGCGUUUUUACCAUGUUAUUGCACAGUAGGAUCUGUAUUACAAAGAAAAUUAAUUCAUUUUCAGGAUUCUAUUGCUUUUUUUUAGCUAGAAUCAUAUUUCUUUUUACACCCUUAAAAUUGCCUCAUUGUUGGAGUUGCAGUAUUUUGGGAUAGGCAAGCUCUGAUGUAGAUAAGCAACCAACCGCUAGCGCUCAAAUGUUGCGACCUCUUAUCCCGUCUCACCCUUCUUUAUUUAAACUAUAUAACCACUUAUUUCCCCGUCAUCCAUGACAAGCACGACGCAUCGCAUGUCUGCCGUCAAAUGCACAUUUGAUUCAGGGCUUUCUUCACUGCAAUUUUCUCCCAAGGUUGUUUACAGUCCUUUUGUGGGACUUUUCACUAAAAAUAUGACUAAUGUCCACGGCCGCAGCAGAGCUUUUAAUGGAUUUCUCAGCACGCCUCUGUUGAGAUUGGGGGGGUUUGUGUGUCGUUGUUAAUGCACUGUGGGAGUCGGGGCUCUGAAAUCCAAUCCACUGAUCGGAGAGAAACACUGUUAUCAGUGUGGAGGACUCCAUCUUCUCACCGUGUCCUGUAGUGUCUGCAUGUUCGGCUGGGCUUUCAGAGAGCCACAAUUGAGGUCACGGUGUAUUUCAGUCCUUUUAUUAUUAUUAUAUAUGCGUUGAUAGUUUGGAAAAUUGGGAUAAAAACCAUGUCGGCCUCUUUGCUUGCACUGUCAAUGAGAAUCCAUGCAGGCUUUGUGCCUAUGGCAGCGUGGAUUGGCAACACACACACACGGCUGUUUUUUCAGCCUGCAUGCCAAGAGCCGUGGAACCUGCCCACUGCUAAUGAUGGCUGUCUGUUGUGUGUACGUGAGGACAUUUUUUGUCUCUGAAUGCCGGUGUGUGUGUGCUCUGAGCUGACUGCUCAUCCAAAAGUGUGAGGAUGCCCCACGUGCAAGCGCCUGUCCUCCUGGAGGGAUGAGAGGGCAACUCUACCCAAGUUGUGAUAUCUUGCUCAAGGCUGUGACUUUGAACAAAGGGCGCCUCCCCCGCCACUGACUGCAGCUCAUUCAUCAUAACGCAUGCUGUACUACGAACAGAAGACCUGUCAACGCCUGCAGUGCAUGGAUCUUCCUAUUUGUGGAGCUGACAUGGUCAUGUUGUCCUAGAGCUACCACACCCCCUUCGCUGGAAAGCUGUCCUUAAAAUGGCACACAUUUAUCCACUCAACGUGGGGACAAUUGACUGGAGAAUUAGGCCAGACUCCGCCUCAGAUGCUGGCUGAGGCAUUGCUAAGUUUAGAUGCAAGAUGGAAACUUGUUGGUUUCCUUUUAACGCCACAGGAGCUGUUGUUCUUCCAUUGUUGUAGGAUCAAUUGGAUGUCUGGGUUUGGUGUCCUUUGAUCUAGUAAGCGAGGGUUUGUAUUAUGUUUUGUUUUUUAAGCAAGCAUGUUUUCUGGAGAAGUAGGAAACCUCAUGUCUCCUAAGAAGCCAUUAAACUAAGCCAGUCAAGCGUGAGCAGUGUAUUGAAGACGGAGAUGCAGAACUGUGACGGAACACUUUCAACAUCACAAUGUCCUCCUUUUGCAAAGCAAACUCCUUUGUCUUUUUUGUGUGUGUGUGUGUGUGUUGGAAAUUAUGCAGGAAAGCAACAGAUUAUUAGAUUCUCCGUCUGAGGCUUGGCGAGCAUUCUCUGAACCCCUUCCCUUUUGGAGAUUGAUGUGUGCAGACUGAGAGCUUCUUUAGUGUGCUGGCAGGGUUUACUGUUUUUAUGAGGUAAUACACACCGUCCGUAUGGCUUUGCCCUUCACUAUGACACUACUGAGCCAAUGACCACGUCUGUAGAUUUCAGGUUGAUGAUACAUUUCUGAGUCUGAAAUUAGGUUUAGGACACGCCCCCGUGCUGUGUGAUGAGAUUCAUGAAAAGGUCAUACCCAUAAGGCCAGGUACCAGCAAUCACAUCUGAAUCUCAGCUGAGUAAUUUGGCGCUUGUACAGUAUUUCUGGCAGAAACCCGAAGCUUGCGUGUACCCCAGAAGUCCUGCGUCUGUCCACAGACGCUAAGGCACUUGGCACGUUCUUGGGGAAGGGUGAAAAGGAUGGCGGUUUGGAGACCAAACCAUCACCAUGGUUACUCAUCGAGCGAUGACUUACGCCAGGACACGCCGCCGCUGACGGAUAGGUUGCAUUACUGCCAGACGUGUCAUGCAAGACUAACUCUGUUGGUGGCAGUUACCGGAUAGAUCGGGGUGUUGCCGAGGGGCAGGGAUUUGUCUGUAGCAGAGGGUGGAUGUGAUGUGAUAGGGGUUGUUUCCCGGGUUGGGGCUUUCCAGCUGGUGCAAGAAAUAAUAGGGACUAAAUUGGGAAGGAGAGCUGUCAAAUCUUCUUCAGCGAACUCCCGGUUUCGGUCCUGGUUAAGCUUUUUAAUAUCUGUGAUUAGAUUAGAAAGCAGCGUGGGAGAUGUCCCACUGCGGGCAGGAAGAAUCGGUUGAUGAUGCAAUCAUCAGAGCAUGCUGAAAUAACCUGCUUAGAUGGUGGCCUUAACCCUCUCCUUGUCACAGAGAGUUUACAUCAUUAGAAAUCCUCACCAAUUACAGCCUUGUUUAUUUGAUCAAUGUGCAGUCAUCCGUCAUCGAAAGAAUUAGUAUUUUAUCACCUGAAGUGCACACUCAAACCAUCAGAUCAGGGCCUAUAAUUUGGUGCUAUGUGAUACUGGAUCAAACUGCUGCAGCCUCUAAAUUUCCCAUUUGGGUAAAUUAAAUCACAGGCGAAAUGUUCACACACUGAAUUAGGGACAGCCUCCUGCAGUGGAUCACAACACUAUGCUUAUGCGUCAGUGUUUAUCCCAGGAAGGUCAUUAAACCCAAAUACUCGAAUGCAAAUAGGCAGUUCUUUUCCUUUUUCAAACUCCAUUCACUACCACGUACAGAAAUUGGAAGGUACGGGAGUUCAGCUCCAGAGCAGCAAACUGGUAGACCGGUUAGUGUCUUCACUACGACAGGGCCGUUAGCUGGUGCUGUCUGUAAAGGCCACGCCACACUGCGGCCCUCCGUUUCUACGUUAAAAUCACAAGAAGCCUCCAGCUCUGGUCUCGACCUCUGACCUCAGAACACACAGCUUCUCGCACAGUUGGCGGUUUAUCCCCGAUGCGCCCACACGGUCACCACCCGCAAGGUCUGAGGUCAUUAAUCGCAUGUGCAAAGGGAGAGUGUAAAGCCCCCUCCAGCCCCCCGCCCUUCAUCAUCAGAUGGACUCCUGCAGGGAGUGGGCUGAAAUUAGCAUUGAUCUGAGUUGUUGAUGUGCUUGCAUGUAUUGAUGGACUUGUGUGGUUGGUAUUAGUCGCAGCAUGGCCAUGGUGAUACUAAGCAUGAAGUAAAAUACAAAGCAACAUGUUGCUCAUUGGUUGAUAGCAUAUCGAAGUCAAUAGACUUUGUUUGUGAGGGACAGCUUUUCACUUGUUUGUUGUUUGGCUUGACUUUUAUUUUUCAUUGUUUGGGGUGUUAUCGUUUUUUUUUUUUUUGGGGGUGGGCCGGUGGAAGCGUGCUCACCUGUGUGCGCGCGCACCUGUGUCCAUUGGGGCAGAGUGCCGUGUGCAGCAAAUAACUUCCAGACUUUAAUAAUGGUAGGGGAAACGUCUUUAAAUAGGAUAGAUCAGGGGUCACCAACCUUUCUGAUACUAGAAGCUACUUUAACAAUACCGAGUAGUACGAAGGGUUUGUUUGAUACAAACUUCCUGAAUAACAAAGUUGCGAAGUUGAAAAACCCACUUUGACGCUUCGGAAAUAUGUAUAUAUUAUAUAAUAAUAAUCUAUAUAUAAGAGAGAGGAGCGCAAGUAAAUUGAGAGAGUAUCCAGUCAAUUUUAGAAUAUAAAACCAGUUUCAGAUAAAAAGUGAAAUGAAAAAAAAAAAUGUGUGUGUGUGUAUUUAUAUAUAUAUAUAUAUAUAUAUAUAUAUAUAUAUAUAUAUAUAUAUAUUCACUCACUCACACACACAUAUGUAUUCUUUCUGUGGUGCGGCCCGGUACCAAGUGGCGUGGUGGUUUGAGACCACUGUGCUAGAGGACUUUAUCUGCCUUGGUACAUGCCUCCUGUACAAUCGGCCCGUGCUGAGUCUGUUGUUUAGCUCAGCUUGGAUUAUUUUCCAAACCAACAGCUGAGACGAGACGCGGCUGCUGAAAUGCUACCUUCCAAGUAUGGGCUGUUUGUUGGUGGUCAAAUAAAUUUGGGAUGAGUGGGAUGAAAACAUCAUGUUUUUCAGAUUUAAGUAUUCACUAUCCUCCCUAGUACAGCAGAUACAAGUUAGUGACAUCUCCUCAUCGGGCACAAAGAGUAACCUAGAAUCAGGUCUUGGUUGCAACCGAUUGAUGCCCAUUCGCACCAGUAUGUACAAGUAUGGACAAACGAGUGUUUGACUAACUUCCUGCGUAAAGUGGUCACAUGUUUUCUUGGCUUGUGUGUGCUGAUGAGGUUUGGCACCAUCCCAUACUAUUUUAGUCCGAGUCCCUCUUAGAUCGCCGGGAGCUGGAGUCUCGCCAACAAACAUCAAUACGACACUGGUGCUUUCAUAGAUUGGUCCCAUUGCACUGGAAAGCUGUUGAUUACAGUAGCUUCACACCCCGCGCACCCCUGCCUCUGUGCACAGACCUCUGUGGAAAUGUAAGAAAAUGAGGGAGAGGCUGAGCAAGGGAAAAGGCUUCUGGUUCUUGCUGAAGAAGUCUGCAUUUUGUUUACACAGAUUAUGCCGUAGCCUGCGGUGAGACAGAAAUUACGUUCACGUUUAAUGCAUGAUUGUGGACAUCACACCUGGUGAUUAACCAACAAUGUCAUUGUUUUCCGAACUAGUGGGCCCUUUAUCUAGCGACGGAACAAGUACUGGGGAGGUGUUUUGAGGUUUUCUGCAGGAAAACUAGGGUUAAGAGCCCCCCCACUGUCAAAGUGCAAUCCUCCUAACAAAGACAAUUUCUGUCAUCUAUUCACAGUAGAAGAUCUGACCUCUACUAACUCGAGCCAUACUUCUACCUUAUGUGCAGUCCAACCAUAGCCUAACUGUUUGCAUUAUUAAAUAAGUGACCAGUCUACGGUAUAAAUAGACGUGCUAAACCUCAAUCACGUGAAAUUUAGUUAAUUGAAUGAAUUGAAACUGCUGUAGUCGACUGAACAAUUCCUGUCUUUUAUGUGCACUAAUGUAAGAACGCCAGAAUUCUCACAAUUAUCUGACCUUAUGAAUGAAUUUCCGUCAGCUCCCCAUGUGCCCAUCUCCUCUUUCCUCAACUGCACACACACAAGGACAAGACUGGAUUGGAACUAUCACAGUGAUUUAUCUCCAACAUGCUUUGAAAUUGCCAGCCGCAGCUGACGCCAGCCUAUAUGCCCAGAACAGAAAUGUCAAGGCUCUAUCCUCGCUCCCUUUUCUAUUUCCUCUCAGGUUUGACGCUAUGAUAACAGCUGUGGAUAGUCUGAAAUGGAGCGCUAAUUGGAUUGCCAAAUUUCAACGCGGGAAUACAAGUGAGCGAGAAAAGGGCUUCACGCAGUGGCCUUGUUUGACUCCCCUCUUCUCUUCCUCAAUCCCCUUCUUGGUCCACGGAGGAUCCUUUUUCCAUGCGACUAGCCGGAGCUUAAGCCCUAAUCUCCUUUGCAGUACAUGAAAAGAAAACCAACCAACACUCCUUUGGUUUUAUUCCUCUCCCCCCUCCAAUUCCUAGCAAGUCAAUUCUCCCCCUCAUCCCAACACCAAACCCCCUCUGCUCUUCCACUAUUGGGGAGACCUACUGUUGCAUCUAGAGCAGCACAGGGCCGAAAGUCAUCUUUUACGGCUGCUUGGAGGUCCAUAUAAUCUGCCUCCGCCCUUGGUGGAAGGUCAGGUCAGCAAAGCAGGAGCAAAGAACCCCCCCCCCGGUGCUGCCAUAAUAACAAAGAUGGGCGUCCGCACAGCAGGCCAGUGCUGAUGCAUAUGCUUUCUGAAAUGGACAGGAAGAAGCAAGAGAGAUGGGUGGGAAGUGGGGGCGCACGUUGACCACACCUUUUCAGGGUCAGGGUGAGACCAAGUUGUAGAGCACCUUCUAGAGCUACAUGUCUGCUCAUUGAGAAAGUCCUUUCCACACAGCGUGGCUUUUUUCCCUUUCGAGUAAUUUCUCGCCUCACCUCUCAGCAGUGGCACGGCAGGUGGGACGACAUGGCAUUACCGGGGAGAUGUCAAUCUCAGUGUAUGUCAGCAAAAGGAGUCUUGGUAAGCCUGACCUGACGGUGACUGACAGAGAAGGAUCCCCAUGGCGGGGGGGCGGGGUGCACGAGAACGGAGCGAUUACAAGGUCUGGAGUAGGGGGGAUGUUACGCCUGCCUCCCCACAGGGGCUGUUAUCACACAGGAACACGGCUGCUUCAAGUGCUGCUAGAUAAAGAUCCUAUAAAGGGCCUAUAAGUGUGCCCGGGGCCGACGUGUCCUUGAGCUCGGCACCACAGGCUCAUAUUGUUAUUGUCAGCCUCGUUGUUUUGACCCUGACCUCUGACCCUCUUUCUUUUGGCGAGGAGGGGGGUAAAUACCUAAGUUCUGUCUGCUAAUGUAAGUGUGUAAGUGUGUAACAGAUGAAUGGUGCGAUGUUCAAAUAUUCAAAGUGACGUGACAGGAAAUAAAAAAAUAAAUUGUGUGAUUAAGAGUUUCCUAAGGAAACCAGAAGGUUAAUUAUGGUUUAUGGUAUACAAUUAUUUAUCAGAACUGGUAUCUGAGGUCAUGUAUGCCUCCACAAAACUACCCCCUCGAAGACACUACGGCGUCGCAGGCAACUCUGUUAGGGUAAAGAGAUCAAACAAUAACUACCUUUUUAUCAUUGCUUGUUUGACAUCAGAGUUUUAAUGGGAGUUACAGUGGCUUCGUGCGGAAAUGGUGUAUGCGAAGAUCUUCCACAUCUUCAGCUUCUGAAGAUCUGAGUACAGCCAACGCUAUGAGCGCUUUACAAGUAAAGUCAAAGGCAGCAACAACUAAUGAGUUCAUGGCGGAGCAACGUGGAACAUACCCUCAGAUGGAGAGCGACGGUCAUUUAUAGUUUUGAUUGUCAGAUAUUUGGUAAAGUCACCGAACCGUCGCAGGUUACAGCUUACUGCGGCUGAGUUUAUGUUUUGAUAGAUCUUGAUGUCGUUUGCAGCGGGUCACAUGUUACUCGGUCCGCUCGCUGGGAUUUUUCUGAGAAACACACUGAAUACAAAUGUCUUUUGUUUGUGUUCAAGAAGAAAGUCUUUAAAAGUCUACUAAAAAUGAACUAUAAUCAUAUCAUGUAAAAUUACUCCCAGUCUAAUCUGUUAGAUGGAAUCCUGUAAUGCAAAGCACAAAGUUGAGACCCAAUGAGGUUUUCAUUUAGUAAUUGCUUAUGGGACUACUUUUAUACAUGUUGAAUCUAAGAAAGCUAAUUUAAGCCCAGUUCUUCCUGUAAGUUUGGGACACACUUUUGGAGCAGUGAAAGACACCUCGCUCUUACUAUGAUGAGUACACGAUUUGUACAAUUAUACAUAAGAAAUGCAAACAAAAUUAAACCAAACAAUUAUAAAGAUUUGUACAACUAUACAUAAUAACUGCAACCAUAACUAAGCCAAACAAGUUAUUAUAUAUAUUUGUACAAUUGCACACCGUUUAAAUAAAUAUUCAUGAUUAUUGAAUAUUAGCAGCACGCCUCGCCUCCUGGCGGCACUCCGGUCUGCUGCCAGGUUGAACCAGCGAAUCGAGUGUUUAAGAAUUUUUUCUGUGGCCGAUUCUUUCUGACAGGCUGUAAUCAUCCAAGCAGAUCAUACAGAAUAUUAUGAAUCCGCAGUGCAACAAAUCCAAAACGGCUCCUCACCUAACAUGCAGUGGGGACGGUUUGUUGAAAUCACAGUUUACGUCCUGUAACGACAUUGCAUUUGUGUUAAUUACAAAAUAAAGGCCAAAUUAACUACAAAUAUACAAAGAAAUAUAUAGUUUAUUGACUCCCAAAAUCAAAACAUCCAGAAAGGCCAAACAGCAUCAUCCGGGAGGUCCUAAAUGGAGCUAUUUGUCAAGGAAUAUGUAGGUAAAUUAUGACUAAACCAGCACACAAAUCAGAACCAAAAUAUAAUACAGAGCACAGCGUGAAUUAAGUGACAUAAGAACAGCGACUGUAGCACGAAAAAACAAUUAGAGAAACUACCGUUUUGAACAAAGUUUUAUCUAGGCCCUAAAUCUUGUGUUAAAUGUUACUCUUAACACCAUGCUUUCAAACUUAUUUAAAAAUAGAAAAAGAACCAAAUCGAACAAAGGCCUCGUGGUUGAUAAGCUGUUUGUCUCGUUCAAAGUUGCGUUGAGAAGGAAAAGCCCAGGUAAAUAUCCCACCCCCUUUUAUCGCCCCUGUGGGUCCUAAUGUAGGCUGCCUGUUAGCGGCCUACAGGGAAAAGCCAGGUUUGAUUGGCGGAUGCAACUCGGGUCCCCCGUUUGACGAUGAGAGAUCGGUGGGCGGAUACGGUGCGAAUGGUCAAAACCGGAGCCGACUGCUGUGUGGGGCUGCACACAGACCCAGUCAGCGUACUCAUGGCUCCCUGUCUGCUGCCUAAUGAACAUCUAAUGCUCUCCUCUCCCCCUGAACAGACUCACUUUCAAAAUGCCGCGGUGAUGAUUACCUCCUCCAUAUUGCAUGAGUUGGGAUGCAAACAAAUUUGCCGUCCCACCUGAUGUGCCCAUGUGCCGACGUGAUUCUUCUCCCACGCAAGCUUAAGGGAACAGCCAUGCUUUGAGAUCUCCUCAAAUGAGCCUGGAGCGCUAGCCUCCGUGUUCAAUAUCUUCCAACAAAGUCUCUGUUUUCACUCCGGCUCUGUUUCUCCAGCUGCUGCACUCGUUUCAGAACUGCUGCAAACAGACUGACUCAGCAUCUGCAUUUUAAAUGUCUAUGCCUUCAAAACAUCCCCCAGAAACAAUACAUAAUCAACCACAUUGUUUAUCCGGUAGCCCAAUUAGCUAAUCGCUUAAUGCUAUGCAACUGUCAGCUGGUAGACUCUAUGAUUCCUGUCAUUCUUUAAGUCUGCCUUUGUGCUUUCCCCCCUCCCCUCACUGGAAUUCACAUGUCCAUGUCACUGCAAGAUAAUUGUUUGCACACUGCAGGAUGCAUGGGUUGAUAAUAGAGCGGGGCUUGACGCCUGUGUCAGCGAGGAAAUAGUGAUUUUCCUGUGCACGCCUGGUCCUCGGGCGACCGUAGAGGGAAGUUCAUGCGGACGCACAGUUUAUUGAAUUGAUGACGGAUGAUGCAUUAAUGACUGCAGCAUGUGUUCUUCUCUCUCUCGCUCGCUCUUUGCGUUUGCUCAGGCUUCAUGUAACAGUGGAAGCCUCGGUCUACAAAGGCAAAGACCAGGUUUUUAUUUUCCAAACCGGAUCCUGAUCUGUUUUUAUAACAAGAUUACUGACUGAUGACUUUUCCUGAUUUAUAUUGUGGGCAGUUCAAAAGUCAAAGAUUGCAUCUAAAGUAUGUACUAGUUUUAUUUUGUGAUCAGAUUUAUUGCAUGUUAUUCCCUAGUUUGGCAUUUAAUUUAUUCUGACGAGUUAAUGAAAAUGUUACAUUAACGUGGCUAUGAUUCAUUAUUUCCCAUUUGGAGGCAAAUCGAUCCGUCUUCAAACCGCUUAUCCUGCACACAGGGUCACGGGGGGGUUGGAGUCAAUCCCAGCCAACUUCAUCAGCCAAUCACAGGGCCAACACAGAUACAACCAACCAUUCACACACCUACGGGCAAUUUAUAGUUACCAAUCAACCUGAUUCCCAGAGCAUGUUUUUGGGCUGUGGGAGGAAGCCGGAGCCUGUGAAUAUUUGAAUAGAUUUGAUGAAAAAAACUUUUUUGCAGAGAACAAAAUUUCUAACUUCUAACAAAUCACUAAAAAUUCCAUAACACUGGCUUAAUUUCAAGGAUAGUUGGGCAGAGGUGAUUCCCAAUCAUUUAGCCUUUAGGUUUAGCCAACCUGUAAAAUAUGCAAAAUGUGUUCCUCGGCCACGGUUAUUUAUUACAUGCAUUAACUACCCCUCAUAUGCAGUGAAAUAUUGCAUCAUAGAGCCUGGCUAUUUUGAGAGAAAAACAUUAUUAGUUUCUUACCUAGUGUUGAAUAAGAAGACUGAUACCACUCAUGUUUGUAAAUCAAGUAUGAAGUUUAAGGUAAACAUUUAGUCUCAGCCUGUGGGUAGCUCAGAUAAGACCAGAAGGCAACUACUGGGUCUGAAAAGUAAAGCCAAUGCUGAUGUGUAUUAAACAUGCAUUCUGUCUUAUGGCCACCAUGGGGCGACCAGUGGGGCAACUGGGGCCUAGAAGACUAUGAUGAAAUUAUCCCCUCUUCUGACUUGAUUUACCAGUAAAUAUUGUAAACAUGAGUUCCUGGUCUCAAUCUCUUGUUUCAAGUCUCGCCAAUACAGCAUGAUGUUCAUUUAGCAAAUGGUGGUCCAUUUAGAGUGAAAUAGACCAUAAAACAGGGUAAGAUUUAGGGCGGGGCUACCUUGUGAAUGACAGGUUGUCCGGUCUGGGGGUGGUCCCGAGUUUUUGGCAACUUUAAACCCUUCCUGGUGAUUUUCAUUCCAGCUCAUGAAAGUUAAUCCUAACAUUUUUGAUAGCAUAAAAAGGUCUCGGAGGAUGUACGAGUUGGUUUGCUCCACCCUCUUGUGUCACCUCCGGUUUCUGCAAAAAGCCAACAUGGCAAUACACAGAAACUAGACGACCAACAUACCAUUGGUCACAGUGACUAUGUCCAGUUGUGUAUAAUGUAUAGGUAAUACAAAUCAAUUUUUAAUUAUUCAUACUCUCCAUCAUACAAGCUUUAGUCUAAAAUCCCUAUCCAGGACAACAUUGAUGAUGCAGCCCCUGUCAGUGUAAUAGUCCUGCUAUUUUCAAAGGGCUGCACACUGUUUAUUAGUGUUAAUAUUUUCCCAGCACUCAUCAAACGUGAGGAUGGACCACUGUAAAUUUGGAAAAAUAAGGCUGAAGCCAGCAUGUGCACCUGGCAUCCCGAGACUCCGAAAUGGUGUUUCCAUAGCAACAGUCAUUUCCCCUCACCGCAGGUGAUUCUUCUGUAGUGGUCCACCCGGCCGUGGCCUACCUGUGGUGGGGGGUGGUGGAGGUUUUGUGUAGUUAUUCAUUCUUCCAUUAACCUUUUUAUUUGUACAGGGCGGUCCGGUGAGAAUUGGCAACUCGCAUUAACACACAGAAAUAAAAGCAGAGAGAGAGUUUAUUGAGUUCUUUCAAAUAAGAUGAUCACAAUUCCAUUUAGAGCCAAGGAAGUUAAAGCUCCACACGUUGUAGCAUACGUAGAUCUCAUUUGCAAUCCAACUGCUGUUGUGUUAAAUCAAUCAGACUGUGAUCAGAGCUUUUUAAAUCAUCGGUGAGCAGUGCCGAAGGUGGAAUUCCCCUUGAUGCAAACGAUGGCGGCAGCCUCUUUUGUUUUUAUUGACCCGAUGUGUGGAAGAAGCGUGUCUAUGGAUUAGUGUGUUUAUUAUACUUUGUCUCGGAGCCACGGCAGAUAAAUGACUCUCAAACAAGGACGUCAAAGGGGCCUGAUUUGUAUUGCACAAGGCUUCUGAAAUGCCCCACACAGCGGGUAGAUAGAUGACUACCAAGGGGUUGGCUGUAUGGUAAACAACACUGUUUCUUAUUGCAGACUAGUGGGAUAGCCAGCAGGAGGGAACAAGUGUCCAGAGUCCCAAAGUACGUCUCACUUCUCUGGGUCCAAUCUAAACAGGCAGAUGGACAACAACAUGAAAAAGUCUAUAGCAUAAUUAGCAUUCUGUAGGAGUUCAUGUAGUCAAUCGCUAUUUUAAGUCUUAUUCAAUACGACGUGAUUCUCAUUUAAUGAAUCUCGGUCCAUCUAGAGUCACAUGCACGUAAAUCAAUAUGCUUUAGGGCUGGUUAACUGAUUGGCAGGUGGCUACCAGAGGGUUUUCUAAGGGAGGUAUUUUAGAAUUUCCAUCCAUCCAUCCAUUGUCAAACCGCGUAUCCUGCAUGCAGGGUCGUGGGGGGGCUGGAGUCCAUCCCAGCCAACUUCGGGCGAUAGACAGGGUACACCCUGGAUUGGUCGCCAGCCAAUCGCAGGGCUACACAGAGACAUACAACCAUCCACACUCACAUUCACACAUCUACGGGCAAUUUUAGAGUCCCCAAUCAACCUGAUCCCCAGAGCAUGUCUUUGGACUGUGGGAGGAACCCGGAGAGAACCCACGCAGACACGGGGAGAACACGCAGACUCCACACAGAAAGGAAUCGAACCCAGGACCUUCUUGAUGUGAGACAUUGUCAGGUGGGGCUCACGCAGUAGCUUCAUCUGAGGCCCAUUGUUAAUGACAGCAUGCUGCCAGGCAUGUAUUCAAAGUUCACACGCAGCCUUUAUGUCUCGCUUAGAGAUUUUGCUCUUGGAGAUCCAUUCAUCAUGUCAGCCAUGUCUGUCACAGCCUGUUUGUUAUUGUGUGUCUCUAUAUAUCCUGUAUGGGGAAACAUGGCUGCUUGCACUCUCACUGCACCACUGAGUCUUCAUCAUGGACAGGCUCGGUCUCUAGGUGAUCUAUAAAAUAAUAAUAAAAGAUAAUAAAAGAAGAAGAAUGGUAUAGAGCAGGGGUAUUCAACUAAAGAUCCUAAUGUGACUACUUAGGUGUGAUUAAAUGGAGGAAUAGAGCAUGUAAUCAAUACACAACUAACAAAUCAAAUUCAGUAUGAUUCUAUAACUCUUUUGACAAAAUUUAUUGUCACGUAACAAAGACCUGAACAUCUAUGUGUGACUGCAAAUAUGAAUGUUUUCUCAAUUAACUAAAAUGUAUUGCUGCAUUUAAAACAAAAAAAGUUAAUUUCUGCGGGUUCAAAUAAAGUGCUUCAAUUCAGAAAAACUCAGCUCAUUGCGCCUCAUGAUGGCGUUUCAAUGGGUUCUAAGCAUACUAGUGCUGCAGAAUGAACAAAAACAAGUCCGUCCAUUGAUGCUUAAAUGCUCUACUUUCGCUGUCCAUUUGUUCCUCAUUUUUCUCACCUGUUUUCUUCCUACAGUCUUUUAUUUGUAAUUAACCGCUACCUCUCUCGUCUGUCCGCAGUAUUGAGACGAUAUCAUCCUGCCUGGAAUGCAAAGACUCAAUUGAUCGAGUGGUAUCACGUGGGAUGGUUUAACUCGAAUGCAAUUGGUCUGUGCUUCAAGCCACUACCGUAAAGACGACCAAAGCUGCGCCGGGUGAAAACUGCGCUCUCACGUUCAAAACGCAAGUCCAGUUUUUUUUUUUUGCUUUUGGUCCGGAUCCGGACUGUGGUCCGCCAGUUAGUGACCUCUGGCCUAGAGUGUUGUGGUGGUAGAAAUUGGUUCUACAUAGACAGGUGAUUGAAAAGAACAAGAGUAGAUUGUGUUUUAUUUUGGGCUCUCAGAUGAAGGAUAGUUGACUUAUCUUUUUAUGGUAAAACAAUCUUUAGGGCUGGAACUUCUAUUACUACCUUUUAACAUAAUUUUCAAAUAAAGUUCGGAAAAGACUGCGAUAAAACACGUUUUAUGAUCAGACAUCGUGCACAUCACCAUUUGGGCCAGCAUCCAUGCAUCUUUUGAAGCUUUAAAGUUGGAGCAAAUGACUCGAUUACUAUAGUGUGCCUCCCAAAAUAUUUUUUGCAAAACAUAAAUCCAUUGACAUUUUGCAUUGAAAAAGCCAAAAUAUCUACAUUUAGAUGGUUUAUUGGAAGCAGUAAACGGAUUGAUUGACUGAUGGAGUGAUUUUUCACUUGGAUGUGUAAUAAGUUGAACACAAACCAUUUCAGAUCAACACUUACUGGCUGGGACUGGAAUGAAUAGGUCAACUGGGUCAAAUCAGUGUUGAUUUGUGCUGAUCAAUUCAAACCGUAAUGAAAGUAACUCAAAUACUUAGGUUUAUGGUCCGCAGAGAAAAAACUUAUGACUUUUCCUCAGCUUUGUUGUGUCUGGUCAAUCAAAGAGCAACUCAUUAAAAUGCAGACUAAUACAAAACAACUGCAACAGCCUUCUGGAACAGUGAGUCCUGACAUUUAAUGGGUAGAAAUGUUUAUAUCUUUCUCAAUUGAAAAAGCUUGCCUCUCUUUUUAGAGAUAUCAUCAGGUCAAAAGUUACAUAAUCCAAUGUUACAAUGUCGUCAAUCCAAGGAGACCCAGCUGGAUUGAAUCGGCCCUCAGUUACUAAGAACUGAGGACCCAGUAAGACCUCUUAUUCUGGAGUAUGAGGAUGCUGGAGACCGUCCCAGAGUGCACCCACUAGUCAAUAAUUAGUUAACAUAAUGAUAAUAACCACAAGAAACCAUUAGUAACAAAAACGGAUAAGAUAAUUACCAUCAUCUAAGCCCAUGAAAUGAUAGGGUUUGUUUAAGAAGUGCAUGCUUUGCUGACAACCAAUCAGACAUGCACUUCUACUCCAGUGAGAGCUGCCACUUCAGAGGACCUGUGUUUCCAUCUGGAACUACAGCGUGUGAAGUCAAGAGUUCACGUUGCAUUAGUCUCCUGACCAGUUACGGCAACAAUGUCUCAUUACCUGCCCACCGAAGCCCCUCUCUUCCCCCGCUGUCAGGCUGAGCGAUGACGCCUCCUAACUGCUCAUGUUCCUGCCAACGGUUGACUUCAUCACUAGGCAGGCCUCCACGACUGUUCACCUAUUCCACCUGUGGUCAGUUCUGGGACUGACCACGUCUUUGCAACUUUGAACUUUGUUUUUUCUCGUGGUUUUCUUUCCCACCGUUCUAAAAACUUUAAAUUUCUUUCUGGUCUCAUUUUCAAGCCUGGAAAUGUGGCCUCUGAGUGCUAACUUACUGUAAUGCAGAACAGUUUAGCUCUUUUCUGGGUCUGCACUUAGUAAAGGGAAGUCUGGAAGAAGACGCUACCGUCACCAACAGUCAUUGUGUCUCUGAAGUAACAGAAUUCCCAUGGCACUCUUUCUGGAGCAGCUUCGAGGUGAUCAAGGACAAAUGGAGGAAAGAUGUUACGUGGAGAACAGAGGACCCAGAGGUGCGGAAAAAUGUCUUUUAUUCUUCCCAAACUCGAACUAAGGGGGCUGCCGUCAGCAGACGCAGUCCGGGACAAGACUUACAGUAGAUCUCGAAAAAGACAACGCUGGAUUGGUAACACAAGGACAAGGCAACAGCUCAGCGUUCAACAACCGUCUGACAGGGGAGUAGAGAAACAGUGGUUAGAAAUAGUCAAACAAAUUAAGCAGUGAGCAGAAACAGGUGAGUUGAGAAUCAGUGUGAGAGUUGAUUGCUAUAGAAAGCGGCUGUGGGCGUUUAGGGCGAGUGAAAGCAUGAAUGGGAAUGAGGAGGUGUGUUAAUGAGUAUCAGCUGGGUGUGCGUGUGUGUGUGUGUGUGUGUGUGUGUGUAGAAAAACAAAACAAGGAGGAAUCCGGAUCAUGACAAAAGAUCUCUCUUGGACUCAGAUGUUCGCAGGGCACAGCAGUGUUUGCACUUUCCGACCAGCCCUCAAACAUUCCCACCUUUUCAUUUGCUUAGUGAUGGAUUUCAACUGGUCCAACACGUAUUACUUCUACCUUUUUAUCUCUGGACAAAUGCUUCAGAGAGGAAGCUGCUAAUGAACUUUCUCUGUGGUCUCACAUGCGGCUGAAGUUGGGUAGAAGUCGGUACACUUUGACACCGAUUUCAAUUUGCUCUGUUCUGCUUGAAUUUGUGGCCUUACUUCUACAGCGCCGCCUAUGUUUACGUGGAGCAGCUGUGUUUACAGCAAUAAUCGGCUUGUAAACUUUCGGUAAGAUUGAUUUACUGACCGUCAGAAGCCUUCGUUCAUUAUGCCGUGUAAUCUACUGAAACCGCACAAAGAAUAAUUCAAGGGUUAUGCUCCAGACUGACACUUGUGCAUGGGCCUGUUUAUGUUGUGUCCUCCCAACAGCGGUGAAUAGAAAGCACAGCGAAGUGCAGAUGUCCUUAAAAGGUGUGUGUCAACCACAACUGUAAUGAUUGGCUAACUCCCUGUCUGGCCUUCAAGUGUAUUAGAUGUGUCGAUGGCUCAGAGCAGCAACUCUGAGACUGUGAUGCAGUAAGAAGUGUAUAUCUGCCGCUUUGUGUAAUUCACUCAGGUGUGUGUGUGUGUGCUGUGACUUCAGCUUGUUGUUUGCUGAACUUUAAUCUUGUUUUGGACAUAUAUCCAAAGUAUUUUCUUUUCUUUGUUCCUACUCUUGCUAACUAACAUUUAUCCAGUGAGUUCUUCACACCCGCGGUCUUUAAUCGAGCUUUUCUUGGCGAUCAAGAUGUUUUCUUCUCACAGCAGAUUGGGUAAGCGUACCAUUGUGCUUAGGUCGGUUUGAUGUACCGCACAGCGACUCCUCUGAUGGUCCUUUUGUAACCUUUUAGCUGCCGGACGGCUCAGCAGCAGCUAAAUCCGUUUAAAUAAAAGCGCUGCAUGUGGAGCACUUAGCGGACCACCCGGGCCUUUCAGAGGUGACCAGCUGGUAAAUCUAAAUGAUAUGUUGUGUGAUUUAGGACACCAGCGGUGCGAGCAGAGGGGAUGAUACCUACUUGGGUGGAAGUGGGUUUCUUAAGAUAACGGUCUUUUUCCUACUAACUGUAGGGAGUUGGACCCAUUUUGAAAUGACUACAUCCCUUCACUCCGUGCUAUUUUCCUCGUCUGCCAACUCCCACGGUACCAAAGGGCUGGCAACACAACGUUGCAUUGUUCCUCGGGAGAUUGUUCUGACCAACAAUGAUCAUCUUUUUCCUAUUUAAUUGUGUACAAUUGUAUCCAAUUUGAGCUUUUAUUUAAGCUGGAAUGUGUAUAUUAUCAACCAGCUUUACAUCUUCUAAAUACAGUUGAUUUGUAAAUGUUUGGUAAACAGCACUUUUUACCCGGUCUAAGCCACUGGUAUACCUGGGCUGGUCUGCCAACAACCGCAUAGGCUGUACCAAGCGGUCUCUGAAAUAGGACGGUCUGGCUACGGGGGGACAUCAGCUUUACCCCGCUGCUCCCGUUGCCUAGCAACCUGCUGCACUUGACAGUAAAAGCCUUAAAACUGGAAAAACGUACAGAUAGAGAAGAUACUCUUAUUUCAUUUAAUCUAGAAAGAUAUUCUUCACCUCCAGAGCGUGAUACAUUUCAGGCUGAGAGAACAUUCUCGGUUAUUUUAAAUUAAAAUUAAAUCGGUUAAGCCAUGUACUUUCAGCUAAAAUUAAUAUUGCAACCUUAAGGGAGAGAAAAUCAAUCAAUACUGUCAAUAAACACAGCAAACACAUUUAUUAACUUCUACAAGCUAUUUUAUCUGUAACCGUAAGAUAUUACACAAUAUGUCCAAGCUACACAAGCUGAAUGUUACCGCACAGGCUGUUCUCCUUCCUCCUGCUCCAUUAAACACAACUAAAUGUAAAGUUUAUAAUCACAAAACAAAAGGAGCAAAUCAAGUUGUUUUUUUGUGUAUUUAUUCUCAAUGUCUGUAACGUUUACUGACUUUGUUUUGAAAUUGAUUUUUCAGGUUCAUAACUUGUGUACCUAAGCUUAUUUUGAUCCAUUUCUAUUCGGAAUUUGAAGCAUAAACCAGCUAUAAAACGGUCACAAACUCAGUAGGACAUUAGUCAGCCUCUAAAGUGUGAAACGUAAGUCAUUAAAGUGACUUUUCACCGAUAACUACAGACGAGCUGCUGUUAACAGCACAGCGGCUCCCGGUAACGUGAGCUGCUCGUUGUGUAUUUGUUGGAAACGUGUGUUGGUACACUGAUGUUCAUAAGAAGCAGCACAUGGACCCAGCAGGAGGGGAGGGUGAGGGGGACAGUCCGAGUCAGGGGCUGUUUGGGGGGGCGGAAGGCAGCAUGACUGACUUAACGUUAUAACUAAGAGCAGUUUAUUCGACGGAUUGGGACAGGCGAGAGUGACUUAUGCGGUCGACGAAUGCGUCCUCAAGGAUGCAGCCUAUAGUGGAAUUGAGACCAACUCAACGGGUCUGUGUGGGCUCUUAGCGAGGUGUUUCACCGCCUACGUUUCUCUCCUCUCGGAGUGCCGCCACACUGAUGCUGAUCCCUGAUAUUCUUUAGGAACUGCCUCUUUUUAGUCUCUCUCGUCCUCCACUCAGCCGUUGCCCCCUGGGUUUUAUUGCUUUGUCUGCUUUGGGAAUCUUCGCUGCACCCCACCCCCAUCAAAUCAAGGAGGCGUCCCCCCUCCAGGCAGGUGCAGAGGUCAAACAGUGCUGAGUUUUUAUGAGCGAGGUGGAGAGACGGCGGGAUGACGUCUGCCCGAGUGGCCUCCGGUUAGGAGCCGUUGCAGAACAAUACUCGUGAGAUGAGGAAUAUCACACAGGGAGAUACGAUGCACUUUAGUGAUCCCUGAGGGGGAAGUGGUUAACUUCAUUGCACAUGAUGAGGAGAGUGGAUACAUGGAUACGAUCAAAGUAGCAAAAACUGUAAAAGCUAGCUGUACAAAUGUUCAGAUUCCAUUCAGGUAGUUUCAAGUACAGUGUUUUUUCUGAAGACUGCCGAGGAGGAUUUGUGAAUCAUCUCCCUUGAUAGUUGGUGCUCUGCAAUGUGGUUUUUUUCAUUCAGUUUCACUGUUCUAUUCAAUGCUUCUUUUAAAAAAAAAAUUAGCAACAAAACCUGCGACGAGAUGCUGAACAAGAGGAGGAAUCAGGAACAUUUAUUACCAAAAUAUGUUAGACAUACAAGUAAUUUGACUUGGCAGUUGGUGCAUAACAUCAAACAGUAAGACAAUGGACAACAAGACAGAUAAGACAACAUAGUGCAGAUUAUUUAGCUUAUAAGCAAACAGAUGCUCCCAUACAAUGGUUUCCUUAAUGGAGUCUCAUACUUUAACUUAUACACUGGUUGAUACAGAGUGCCGAUCUGACCCUUUGCAGUGCAAACAGAAACCUAUAUUUUCAUUACCAUUAUUUUUGGCAGCUGCACAUAACUUGCCGUGAAUGUGACAUGAUUUCUAUCCUGUUUUUAAUGCACUAGCAAAACCCUGAGGAAUAAACACUAACAGAUACACAGAGAUGGCACAGUACUUUAUUUCAGAAUUGAAUUCGACCUUCGGGUCAUUACUAACAAAGAAUUGCUGACAUUUUGCUAGCUCGGAGUAACGGUAUUUGCUCUGCUGGCCUCUGUCCUGUUGGCACUGGGCAUGUGGAUGACAACAAAACGAGAUGGCUCACGUUUUUUUUAAUCUACGAGCUGAUGAUGGAAGCAGCAAAACAGUGAGCCAUGUUUUCCUUUUCUCUAGAGAGUUGCACAUGCCCAUCAGAUAGCAAAUGACGAGCGCUGUUCCUGUGUAGCGAGACUGAGCUGAUAUACGAUGUGAUACCGCCACAGUGGUUUGGUACCCAAUUCUCGCUCAGCGGACUCCACUGUCUUACUAGUUUGCCCCCCAUGAGGACCACAGUAUUUUAGGAACAGCAAGGGCAUCAUACCAUGAUUCACCAAGUCUUUAUUGUAUCCCAACAGCUAUACAUACUCACAUACCCCACUUGAAAAAGACAACAGGAUAGCCCUACUAGUAAGCAUUUCCUGCAGUGACUCUCUGGCCUCUUUGUGCCUCCGUACGUUGCCUUGACAACUGACUUACAAAGAGGUUGAUGACCGCAUAUUUAUUAAUAAAUAUUAGUUGCAAUUUGUGCUGUAUAGAGAGCCAAGUGCCGGCCUUCAGAAACUGACUUCCUUACUUGACAUGUUUGCUACUACAGUAACUCUAACUACAGGAAAUGUACAAGAUGAGGGUCCUAAGAUAACACAAUAAACCCUUUAAGUUGGACAGAGUCACCUGUGUAAUAUGUUAAUAUAUCUAUUGAAAUUAUUGUUGCUGUUCUAAUAAUAGCAAGAAUAAUUAAGUUGUGUGUGCACUUUGUUGAUAAAACGUGAGGUGCUGGUGAAGCCAUCCAGCUACUCCAUUGAAGCAUGACCAGUGCUUGCCUGCACAUGCAGUGCACCAGCAGAUCCAUCCUCCAUCCUCUUGUGCAGCACAAUGAUCAUGGCAGAAAAAUCCACAGUAUCCAUCCUGUAACUCUGAUUUUUCCUUUGUUUUCAAAAACUAGUGUGCAUUCAUACUGCAUCAAACAGAAGCGAUUUGCCGGUAGCUGCCUUGUAUUGAGUAUCUCCGCCACUCAGUGGGAUUUUCUUCACCAGCAUUUUUGUAGUCAGUUUAUUAUUCAAUGAAGUUCUCUAAUUGCUUUACUUCAAAUUGUUGCUGCCGUGAUUGCAUCACUAACCAAACAUUUGGUAAUUGUUAGAUUAUCCAUCUGUAUUGUAAAAGCCAACCAGACAUCUGUUGUUCUGCGAUGCACUCUCCUCAAUUUACUAUUGAUAAAUGAUGAUGAUCGGCCUGCCACAGCCAUUAAUGUGCUUCGAACAAACCUAAAGCAAUUAAAGUGGCUUAUUUCACUUUAUCAGAACAUUUAUGAAAGUAAAAAAAGGUACAUCAACAAACUUUGGUUUGUAAUUUAUGCAUAUAUUGAAAUGAAUCCAACAGAAUGAGCACACACAGUACAAACACGUGCGGUCUUCCUCAGUUCAGAAUCAGAAAGCUGUUCAUUGCCACCUGUUACACAGACAGGAAUUUCUUCUGGUGAUUGGUGCAGUAUUACCAGACAAAUAGAACAUAAAAGCAUAAGUUACGGUAAAAUAAGACAAAUGUGCAAGCAAAAAAAUUAACAAUAUAAACAUUAGAUUAGAACGGUAAAACUAAACUGCUUUUAGUGCACAUCAAUGAGACCGCGGUUUGGAACACUUUCCCUGAGCAGCGCAGACGCAGCCUAAACGGUCACUUCAACACGGCGCUGUCCUCGCCCCGGGUCUUCACAGCUGUUUCCCCCGACGCCGCCCCCGACAACUCAGACCCUGCAGCCUUCCUGCCCCCCCCGACCAUCAUCCCCUGGCUGCUAAGUCUGGACCAGGGAAGGAGGAACUGCCAAACCGGUGCUCGUUUUGUGUGUCUGGACGCGAGCUGUGAAGAGUCAGCUGUCACCUCUCUCUGGCUCCCUGCUUUAACAUCCUCCUGUCUUCUCCGGAGUCUUCUGUAGUUGUCAAUGUCCAUCUUCCCCAAAAACCCAGUUUGUUAUGUUGGAGCUUUAGGGAAGUCCACUGAGCAACAAAGACCAGUCCAAUGAGGCCCUGUUACUGCCCCCUGCUGAGGCGCUCUCGUUCUAUGUCUCAGCUUCUAACGUUCUGGAUUUCUGCACUCUUUCCUCUUUCUCUCGUUCUCUUUCCUUUUUUUUCUCCCUGUGCCUGACUUUUCCCCAUGGCCUCUAUCUCCGUCUCUCUCUGUCAGGCUCUAUAACCAUCUCAUCUCUCAUCUUUUCUUUUUGUCCCUCAAACCAUCCUUUAUAAUUGCCUUUGUUUUUUUGUCUCUGUCUGGCUUCCUUUCCUUCUGUCUGGUUCUUCCUCUCUGCCUCAGUCGCUCUUCCUUCUCUCAGCAAGGCUGCCAGGCAGACUCAAAGAUAUCUCCUUUUCAUACGAUGUAAUCCCUCUCUACCCAUGCGUUGGACAUCUACCAGGACUACAAACGAUGCUUCCCUGUCUCCUUGAUCCUGGAUCGCAAUGCACCAUUAAAAGCACUGCAACCCAGAAUGAGGAGCUUUACAGUAAUUAUGGCUGUGAUCCGUUCAGUGCAGCUCUAUGAAUGAAGAAGGUCUCUUCAUGACACGUUCAGGCAAAAUAUGUAAGAGCAAGUCGCACCUGAACCAGAAAAGGGUUUAUUGUGCAUCCUCCAGCAGUAGGCAUGUGAAGCAGGUGCCCUUUUAUCUCAAAGGAAGCCUACUUGCAAGACAAAACAGCGCUGCACGACAACUUCUAAUAAAACAGACUAGAUUGAGCAAGAAAGAAAGAAAAUCCCUGACCUCUGAUUGCCAAAACGCGCCGGCAAUAUGACAAAGUAUGUUUUAAAAAAAAAACAAUUUUCAAAACUACACCGUUCAUGCCUGCUAGAAGCUUCAAAAAUAUGCAUCGUUAUCAUAUUUUAAUAUUUUUGUUGGUCUUCGAAGACAUGGCUUUGGAUAAAGAAUCCGAAACAAAUAAAUAGUGAAAUGGUGAAAUAGUGACGUUUAAUCAAAAACAUUUGAUUCUACAUGUAAGAAUGGUUCAGAAAGAAAAACCGUAUGAGAAAACAGAAGAACGAGCUUCCCACAGGAAGCCCGGGGGCCUCCUGCAGCCUGGCCCAGACGGAGGGCUCCAUGGCAUGCGUUUGGUGAGCGGGUUUGCCGUGGGACCCGGCUGGGCACAGCCCGAAGGAGUGACGCGGCACCCCUCAUCUCUCAUUCCCAUUGGCUCACCACCUGUGGGAGAAAACCCAGUCUGGCAUUACUUCUACGCUGAAGAAUGUAUGCAUGGAUAAUCGGCUGGAUUAAGUCCUUCCUGUCCCCUUGUUUUGAAGUUGAUGGUUAUUGAUUAGAUGCCUGAAAUAAGGUAUGUGAUAAAAAACAGAUUGUCUGUUCUAAUCUCUGACAUGCAAUAGGUCAGCUGUAUCCCCCAUGUCCAAUUGAUGUGUCUUCAAAAGACUGUCUAAGGUGACUUAAUGAGACUCACUUAUGCCCACCAGUAUCCCUUUACAGCCUCUUUGUGUCCUAUAGUCUAGUUGAACUCUGUCUUAAUAUCAUAAUGCUUAACAAAACCGGUAAAUAUCCUAAACUUUUGUUUUCCUUUUUUUCUAUGAUCCCAAAUCCAAUGAAAAGAACAGGAUGAUGCUACCUUCUAGCUUAGCCAACAUAAAUGCGUCAUCCCUCUCGACCUACAGCGCCACUGUGAACUGGUCUCUAGUGUCUCUAUGUAGUAAACAAAACCUCACUGCUGGUCUGCUCUAGCUGGACUUGGCUGCCAACCAGAGCUGUGGAUUUGUCCUCCAAGUUAGCGUUCAUCUCUUCUGUCACACGUUCACUCGCCCUCUCUCAUUCCUUCUCUGGCUCGCUCUGUCAGGCCCAAAAAACACGUCGGUUUGCAGUGGGGACAAGAGUGUGUGCUGCGUCCCCAAAGGCUGCACGCACUCCCGCCACCUGGUGCCAGCGAAGCUUAUCUUCUUCUCUGGCUGUCCUUACAGCAUAAGUGAAGUUUAUACUUUGUCCCAGGAGAAUCUCUUUCCAGUUGAGGCCUUGGCGAGUUUCUGCCAGUGUAGGAGGAAAGACGUGCUAGGGCGGGCUCUUUCAAGGACAUCUGUCCUGCGGUAGGGGGGUGGACUGCUGUAAACACGAAUGUUUAAAAUAUAGAAAUGGCCCUUACAUUAACAAUAACCGCGUAAAAGCAUUUGGUGGGUUUUCAAGUGAAUUAAUUAGACAACAUAUUUCCCUCUUUGGUUUGGUUUUUGGUUCCAAUGAACAUGCUGGGAUCUGAAUGAAGAACCACAUCUAGCUCCUCUACUGGCUUAAUAGUGGUUUCAGAGAGAGAGAGAGAGUGUGUAUUAGGAAGAAGAGCUCAUCCCAUCCCUGCUGGUGGAGCACUGCGCUCCUGAAGGGUCCUCGGCUCUAUCUCGUCCAUCCUCGCUCCCUUAUUUCUUUCUUAAAUUUGAUUUGAACACAAUUAAACUCAAUCCAGCUGCCUUGUCCAGUCUCCCAGAGGUAAUUUACAUCACUAACUUGUUUUGUACUUGGCAGCAUUAAUUGGUGCUUUUAUGAGGAAAGCUUGGCGCACAUGCUGUCCCGAGACUUCGAGGCGGAUCGGGUUCCUUACUACCAGUCCCGCCCUCACAAGGAAUCGUAGACAAAGACAGAAAUACGGGUCUCUCGUGCAGUAACCACACACGUGUAUCCGCGGAGGGCCACGUUGCUCGGAAUGCAGAGCUGAUUGAGAAAACGUUAGCUCGUGUGCCCGACCACAGAUCAUCGACGCCACGUGACAAGGACAACCGUGCGCCGAUCGGUAGAUGCCUCUAAGCCGCCAUUGAUUACCAAUGACGCUCGUAUCUGUAGCGGGUUAAAUCUGUGAUCCCUGCCUGCUGGUGCUGCUUGUUCACAGUAUUGCCUCGGUUUGCUGUAAUUGCCAAUUGUGCAGGAGAAAUGACAGCAUCACAUUGAAAUUGUUGUUGAUUUCUGCAUUGCUGCUGCACGUGCAUUUAGAUGAUGCGCUUGCGUAGCAGUUGUGCGUAUUGAUGCGCUGUGAUUUGCUGCCCUUUGUAGAUUGAUUGCAUUUCAUGGCCUGUAUUUGCCCAGUAAAGACCUACAGUUGCCAUGGAUUAACCAUUUCUCAAAUGUGAUUCAUUUGGAUAAUAAGCAAAUGGGGCUGCUGAGGCUUACUGUAUUUUUACACAAAAUAUCUUCUAGCAUACUUUCUGGUAAUGCAAUAAAUAAAGUGUAUAUGACAUAUGUGGGUAGAGACAGCCUGUAUUAUUAGGCCUUUAAUCAUUGAAGACAAAACGGUACCAAUGUUCCGCCAAUGUUCUUGAUUAUUUUAUUAUGACUUUUAAAAAUGUGGGAUGUUGAUUUAAUUGCACAAUGCAGCAUGUAUCUCCUUUACUCCAUGUGCUUCUCUAAUUAAUGUCACACAAACAUACAAAGUAAAGGCAGCUAACAGAUCAGAUCAGAUCAGUUGUCACAGUGGAGUAAAUAUAACUAUUGCAGCUAAGCUCCUCGCAGUAAGUGCCAUAAAUCAUUUGAGUAAAAGUGCAACAGGAAGUCAAUAACCAGCGAGAGAAAAGGGAAAGACACCUUCAACCACCGCCGUAUCAGAGCAUUUAUCACCUGUGCCGCGGGGCUCUCAAAGCGCCCGGCUAAUCCCGACGGGUGACAUUUGGCCAGGGGACGAGACCUAACCGGGCAGGACUCGUACGGCUCCUUUUCUCUUGUCUUCGAGCGACAGGUGAACGAUUCGCAGAUCAACAGAUUGCAGCAGGGGGAUGUUUUUGUGCUCAUAGCUGAUUACCCAGGAGAGCAGGGGACAGGGGGGCAGACAGGAAGUCCUGCUUCUGUGCUUAUCUCCCUCGCUCUCGCACUCUCUCGCUCUGUGUGUGUGUGUGUGUGUGGGGGGGGGGCAGCGCAAACUACCGGGUGUUAAUAUGAGCACUCAAGUGAAUGACAUUGUUUUUCAACAUAUAAAAGACCAAAUCACUGAUUAUUGGAUAUCAGGCCAAUAGUGGGCGUGCCCCCAAUAUGGGCACACUCCCACCAGCAGGCCGAGAGCUGUGAUGGAAAAUGACGCAGUCUGUCCGUCCAUAGCACCCCCCCUAGGGUAAACAUUGUCUCCGUACACUCACCGUCACCUGUUCAACACAAAUGAAUGAUCAGACAGUCACAUGGCCGCAACUCAAUGCAUUUAGGCAUGUAAAUGUGGUCAAGACAACUUGCUAAGGUUCAAGCAUCAGAAUGUACAAGAAAGGGGAUUAAAAUGACUGAGUGACUAUUGGGAUCUAUUGGGAUUUUUACACAAACAUGUCUAGGGUUUACAGAGAAUUGUCCCAAAGAGAAAAUAACGAAGUGGCGGCAGUUGUGUAGACAAAAAUUCAGUCCAACUUCUUACUAGCAUGGUGUACCUAAUAAAGUGUCUGGUUAUUGUAUAUCCUCCAUACAUUUAGUACUUUUAUCCAGAUGAAAUUUGCUCAGUUGUCAUUUGAGGUAGAGAUGUUUCAUAUUUUAUUUCCUGCUCAUAUUGUACGAACCGUCUCUAAAACUCAAAUAUUUGUUGAAGAGAAGGUGAAGGAGUUUUUUCAUCUACACAGAACCAUUGUUCCCUGCCCACUUUCUCCCACUUUAAAAGCCUCUCUACCUACUUCACCGACCGCUUCACCUCCUCCUUCCUCUGCUGCAAAGCUUUAAGAUUCUCAUUCCCAUCACAGCCGAGGCGACCUUGGAUUCACGGCAGCACGAUGCACUUAAUAGUCAAUGAAUUACCUGCAUGGCAACAAGGUUGAAAUAAUAGGGAACAAGGAACAAGGUGUUUUCGUGUAUGUUGAUUAAGUCAUAGGCAGCGAUGGUACUCUGUAAUAACCAAUGCCACUAACCAUGUGGAUGGAGGAACCUCAGUAGUACUACGGAUGUGUCCUCAGUGGACCUGGUUAAAGGUUAACGGAGCAUCUGCUUCCAUCAGCAGAGAAGGACCAUGUGAUAAAGGUUUUUUAUCUGGCCUCAACUUAACAAAAUAUGUGCUAAUUCUAUUCUAAUAAUAAUGGCCAAUAGGAUUGUUGACAGUUGGCCUGCUUCAUGGUGCUUUGACAGUGUUGUCCCGAUUGGGGUCUCUUCAUCGUCCGGCAGCAGUGUGUGUAACAGCUCUUUUCCUGUUCAUUCUGUCCAGUGGGUUCAUGGGUGUAUCCAAUACGCGUGUUUGAUGGCUUACUCUUCCGUUACCCUGAAAGCAGCAGAGGUGUCCCAUCACUUUUCCUCGUCACAUUGAAGCACAGACUGUGCCCGUUCCACAAGCUGAUUUGCAAAGUAAAAUGAAUUGUUUGUCUUUUGGCCCACUCAUUUUUUGACUGAGGGUGUUUACAUUUAUUCAGUUCCAAAGGAACCCGAUGCAGACUGAGCAGCCUGUUCUGUGUGUAGCAGAGUUGGGCUUUAUGACUAUCGACAAAGUCCACAGCGGGAGUGUUUUAUCCCCAAUGUGAUACAUAAUCAUUUAUUGUAUUAUAAUCCCCGGACCUUUAACCAUGCGUGACGCCCUGUUAUUGUACCACCAACCUAAGGGCAAGUCUCACUUCAUAGAUCAUAAAACAGCUUGGCGCUGUAGGUUUUAGCAUACGUUUCUUAUACAGCAGUACGCAUUUGUCGGGGACAACUUUCAGCUGCACAUAAUUAGAUUAGAUUUGCCUCGUUACUAUUUACAGAACCGUAAUGUUUUAGUAAGAAUACCUGAAAUUCAGUGUGUGAUUCCUUGGCAAUCGGUCAUUCCACCAAUUUGAUGAAGAGUGAAAUAAGUCGCUAUUGUAGACUUUUGUGAUCCCAGGGGAGAAGAUGUUUUUCUUAAUUCCCGUCCCAUGUCAGCAGUAAGUGGCGGCGGCUCUGUCACAUGGCUGGUAGGUUGCUCCUGAGAGAACACCUGCGUUGAUUAGGGACGUCACUUCCAUUCCUCACUGUGUUAUUUCCUCUCUGCCAGCCAGUCGUGUUUCGUUAAGGUGAAUUGAUCAUAACUGAUGCUGAGCCGCACCAUUAUUCUCCCAUUUUGCCGCAGUUAUUGAUCUCUUCCUCUGAACAGAGUCAAAACGGAUUAGCCAUCAGAUUGAGUAAAAAUUCUGUGUGUGAGGGGGGGCAUUUAAAUGGAUAGAAGGGAAUGCAUUUUAUUUUCCGUAAGUCUUCCUUUAUUCACCCUCCCCCACACCCUCCAAAGUGGUCUGAUAUACCUUCAGAUGGCAGUCUGCCGGCUGUGGAUACGUCAUGGUUUCCUUCAUGAUCUAAUCACCAGCAGUGGUGUGCUGUCCGUCAUCAGGGGACUGAACAGAGAGGCUGCCAGAGGCAAACCUCCAACAUUAAAGGAUCCCCUCUCAGAAUAUAUCAUUGAUAGGAGGGGAUCAGUGGGGACAAUCAUGCAUAUAUGCACCAGCCUCUGGAUUCUUUUAAAAGGUUGGAUGGGAUGAUGAAAUAGGAAUAAAUCCAACUCUGACUAUGCAGAGAUGUUGAUAAAAAGAACUUGUGAAAAACAUUAUAUUUAAAAAAACUACAUUCAAUUGUCAUUACAAUACAUAUGCUAACGAUUAACUGUGAUGAAUAUUUACUUCAAAUACCGUGCCAGUCAAAAGUUUGGACACACUUUUGACUGGCACUGUAUGUCACUGCGUAAAUUAGUUGGAGGCGCAUCGUGUUUCUGUACAUACAACUGAGUGGUUUAAUGCAGCGCUAAAGUGCAUGAUCAUACACAGACUGAAAGAUGACAUAUUUCUAUGGUCAGAAGCCACGCAAAACAUUUGCUCUGAAGCAUAGUUAUCCAUCUGUGCUGUAAAGAAUGAUAGCACUCUACUGCCACUGCUGACAGGACUCUAUGCUACUAAACUACCACUACUGCUGCUAAAUGAACACAAUUAUUCACACGUGCUAAUUCCCUAGUCACCUUGGAUCAAUAUAAAGGAACGUGUAUGCACCACCCAGAGGGUAUCAGCCAUUUUCUGGUUCACAGCACAGCAGAAUCCUUUUUCAAAACCCAACAGCCAACUUACAUCUUAACGGGAGUAAAGAUGUAAAUCAAUUAUUGAAUAAGAGGUUCAGGUAGCACAAAUACCUUCUCCUCAGUGAGUGAAUAAAGUAGUAAAUAUAUAUAUAUAUAUAUAUAUAUAUAUAUAUAUAUAUAUAUUUUACCUGACAAUUUCUUUUUUUCUUAACCGUAAGGCUAGUGUCAAGCUGAUUAUAGAGAGAUAUAUUAUCAUGGUCAAUUUCUCUCUCAUCUAUGUCAACUGUCAUGUCCAGGAAACAGAGUUAGUCAAGUUGUCUCGUGUCCCAUGACUUUCUGUUUUAUUUUGAAAAUUAACCUCCCUCUCGUUUCAGGCAACUUGCCCAAGGCAGCUGGAGUGAUUUUUAUUUCAGUGGCGCUUGCCUGUUUGUUAAUAAACUUAGAUUUCUCUUUGUCUACGAGUCGUGCGCUUGGGUUCAGGGCCAUAGUCCGGUCGCGAUAUCAACAGGUCAGUCAAUUUAGUGGUAGGUUAAAACAGACGUGCACGAGAAAGCGAAGGUUGCUGAAACCAAAUCGGAAGUGGCACACUAAUAAGGGUGCAUUCACACAAUUCAAUUCAUUUUAUUUUGUAUAGCCCAACAUCGCAAAUUACAAAUUUGCCUCAGAGGGCUUUACAGUCUGUACACAUACAACAUCCUCUGUCUCAAAACCCACCAUCGGCACAGGAAAAACUAAAAAAAAAACCUUCCAAGAGGGGAAAAAAAAGGGAAGAAACCUUAGGGAGAACGUCAGAGGAGGAUCCCUCCCCAGGAUGAACAGACUACAAUGUAUAAUACAUGCAAUUCCUAUGACAGAAAGGAUUCAAGUAAUUGCGAGUAGUAAGCCAGGCGCACAGCAGGACCACUGCAGGGGCAACCACCAUCAGAUAGAACCACCAUCCACAGAAGCCUGUAGGGAGGGAGAGCGCAGAGACUUUAGGAGAGGGUAAUGUUGGUUUAUGAUUACAGUAAUAUGAUUAAUAUCUAAAAUAUAAUAAUGAUGAUGAUGAUGGCACCAGCAGGCGUCAGGACCACGGUCCAGUAGGACAGCGAGAAGUCUGCCACAGCCGCUUCCAUUGAUGUUUUUAACAGUAAAACACAACAGCGCAUGGUGCCCGGGUCGCCCUGUGACCAUGACAACCGCAGAAACUGCUGCGAGGGGAAUGACACAGGAGUGCAAGCGCUCUUUGAGUUCCCUGGUUCGCCUUUCUCCCCAUGUUUUCAAAUCGUCACCGGGCUGCCCGAAUGCACCUUACAGGAAGAGGAACCCCCCCCCCUACAGUUCUCAAUUCAAACUCCAGCUUAAUAAUAUUAGUUUAGACCCCUUUCCUAUAUAUAACUCUAUUUAAUAAAGAUUAAGUAGAGUUAAUUUGAUUUGUUCGAAAUAGGACAACGAACAAAAGAGGAAACCCGUGUGCUGAGGAUGUUUCAGCGUUGUGCCCUAUAAGGAGUGAUGCUGCUCUUCUCCCUGAUUAAGCAUGAGGAUGCCCUAAUGACCUGACGCGCCUAACAGCUGCAGCCAGCACAGCUGUCAUCAUGCUUUAGCUUAGUCUGCACACUCUAGUGCUCUGCUGUCUCCCUCCACCCCACUUCCUUCCCUCCCACUGACCUCUACUAUGAUGGUCAAUAUGUAUGUCGGCCAAAACUGGAAUUUGGAUUGGAAGUUGUCCCGCAGACCCCCCGACCACCAGACAGGGGAUCUUGAGUCUCACGAUCGGGGAUGGGUGGUUGCGUUGGACAGAAGUUUUAUACUUCCUACACUCCCAGUUGUCUUCCCCUCAAGCACAAAAUGAAGCCUACAGGUGUGGAGACCCCCCCCCCCCCCAUCUGGACGGACUCUUUCUUGUCUUGAGUUCCGCUGUAAACCAGUGUUAGUCGUUGUUAUAGUCCACCCUGGUGCAUGAUGGUAUACAGCUGUCCUCACAAACCUGAGCAAAUAGAAACAAAGCCCGCCGACUGCCUGGCUGUAGAGCACGUGCCCGGGGGGUGGGGUGGGGGGGGCACAUGUUGAUACUCAUUGUCAACACUGUGUCUUAAGUUAAGGCAUGCCUUCUCUAAUGACAGGGCCAUCCUCACCUUGUUUCUGAUUUUUCUUGACAGGGUUUUAUUCCCCUGUACAGGAUAUGUGUUUAUGGAUUCAUAGAAUACAUACAUCUGCCUGGGGGUCAUCAGAGCAAAGUCACCAUGGUCUUAUCAUUUCUGACGUGACGAGAGGGGGGCGGGGUUCUAUGUGCCCUAGAAGGAAUAACUAACAUCAUGUAAGAAUCUAACGUAAUGCCACACUAAAAAUCAGAAGACUUGAUGUCAACUUCUUAAUAUAUCAGCCUCUAAUGAAAGAUUAUUGCAUUCUCCACUCAAGCGGUUCAGCAGCUGUGACCUUGAUAUAGUUUAAUGAGAAGAUAUUUAUUUGCUGAUUAUCUCACCCAAGCCACCAUCCGCUGUUUGAAAAACAUUUCAGCAAAAACACUUUUUCCAUAUUUUGCCUGUGAGCCGCGAGAUUCCUCCGAUGCCGGUAAUGAUCCUCGUGUCCAUUAAUCUGCUCAUUUGGAGGCAAUGAUGGCCGAUGCCAUUUGUCCAGAUGCGCACGUGCUGUUUUGCGCCGCUGUCCCUCUGCGUAAUUAAACCAGAACCAGACGUGCGGCAACAGAUUGAUUUCUUUCAGCCUCUUUUGUGUUGAGAGGGGCUCAAGUGGAUUUCAUAAGAGCCGGAGGAAAGCUUGCAUGCGGCCAGUCAACCUGUACACGAGCACACAAGCUGCUCUCCGACCAGUCAAGAGGCGGUCACACUAUCCAGCCAUCAGCAGCUCUUAAGCUGAUGGACCGUGGAAAUUUCAGACAAAUACGAGAAAACAUGCUGGGGGGCCGACUGGGGGGAAAAAGUGGCCCGGGAGUUACUGUCAACCGGCCCACUCAAUACGCAGAGAUAGAUGCUUGGUACCAGAUGGCUACACGUAUAACUAACCUGCGCCAGUCAUGUAGUGGGGGGGGGUGGGGUUUAGGGGUUAGUGGUUGGCGAGUUUACCACUCGCCAACCGAGUUUACCACUCGCCAACCACUGGGUUUUGAGGGAUUGUUUGAAUGAUGAUAGGAUGGGAGCCUGUCAGAUGAGGAUGGGCAAGGCGUUCCACAGGGGAGGUGAAAAAAUUACGUCGGGGGGCCGAUGGCCAUGCGCAGUGGGGUUGUCACUAUACCAAAAUGAUGGCUUUGACACAAUACCUGCCAUAAAUAUCAUUAUCCCUGAUACUUAUGAUACCAGAAUUCAAUAAAAUUCCCCCUGCAUGUCUCUUCUGUGAUCCCUCGCCGUGAGCACGCUGAGCAGCCCCGCCUCCUUCUCCACCCCAGAAGUGGCUAGAUUUAUCGCUAGUAGCUUUUGCGGUGCCUUCUGGGACUUUUCGUAUCAGCCGGGAGCGUGCUAUUGACCGGCGGGCCAGUUAUGAUCGACAUGUUAUUUAACUGGCGGGCCGGAUAUAAUUGUACCGCGGGCCUUGAGUUUGACAUGUCUGGGCCAGAGUGAUUGGCAUGUAAUGACACAUAAAAAUAAGUUCUAAUAAGCUAUGAGUGGGAGUUCAUAUCUCUGCGAGGUUUUUAUUGUCAUGGUUUCAUGUGUUCCACUCAUUGAAAGUUACCUGAGGAAACGUUACAACGCACCAAAAGACUCGAGGAAGAAGAACACACAUUUUAAGGAAUGUAAACAGAACUUUGGUCUUUGCAAAAAAAAAUCCUCGGGGGGCUUUUAACCCUGGUGACUGACAUCAAAAAGAUUUAUUUAAGACUUCAGAGCACUGCCGAGCAGCAGAAGAUUAAUAAUUCAUCUAUUAAUUGACGUAAUGGGUAGUUUUUUGUGGUGAAAAUGGAAAGGACAAAUUAUUGUCAUAUCUGAAUACCUCUCCUUGUCUUAUCAUUGCAGGACAUCCUCCUGCUCUUUGGAAAUCAAGUGAAUUGGGUGUGUUGGAUUUGCACACCAACAACACUUUGCUUCAAGCUGGAUAUUAAUGCCCAGCGAGCAGGCGAUUGAGGGGGUGGGUGGGGGGGUGGAGAAGUGUCAGCAAAAUGCUAAUGUUGUUGCUCAUUACUGCUGCGCUGUUGGAAAUGGCACAUGAAAUAAACAAUCUCCCUAUAUUGUCAACGCAUCACAGCUGAAGCACCGACGUCGCAGAGCUAACGGGGGGAAGGCGGGUGCAAAGGUGUGGAAUUAUGGGAACGAUUGGGUGGUACCAUAGGUGCGCUCAAGGCUCAUGUCCCUCUGCUGUGUAUUUCUGCCUCUUUCAUCACAGGCCCUCUGAGCGCGUCUCAUACAUGUGAAACAGCUUAUUUUGAUGGAGGUGUUUGAGGGUGCGGGGGGGGCAAGAAAGGAAAGUUGGUAUGUAAGAUGAGUGGAGGUGGGCAGGGAGAUUGUUUUCCUGUCGUUGCACACAUGCUCUCUCUGCGCUCCCUGCUGAUUCAUAUUCACGCCGGCACCCGUUGGACUGUGAGGACCGGCCCGGCUCCUCCGCGCUCAGCUAAUGAGCCGCUGGCUGGGGGUGAAAUGGAGGUCAAGUGCCUUGGCAACAGUAAUUAAGGCUGCAGGAAAUUUGUUAUUUUCUUUCCCUUCCUGCCCUCACAUGUUCCGUAAUGUUUAUGUAACUCGGCGGCUUGAAGUGUAGGUAGCGCCAAGUAUCGGCACACCUUUCCCACCAAGAUUAGUUAUUAGUGAUGAGUAAUUAAUUUCACCUCUGCUGUGCUUUUGUUUUUUCCACAAUAAUAAUCAAAUCUUUUUUUCCUCUCAUUUACGUACAUUUAUGUCUGCGUAUGGAUUCAUCAAAUGAGACAUAAGAAGUUUAAAGAGUAAGUUUAUUCUUGCUUAUUCCCUCCUUGCUGUAGCUUUAGCUUGUCUGGCCUCAUGGUACAGAUCUAAUACUGUGAGCAAGGGCAUCAGGCUUGUCACUUAUAAUCCAUUUUUCUAUUGAAAAAUACAAGCUGAGUGAUUUAUUUUAAGGAAGGCAGAACGUUUGCAUCUUUCAGAUGCAACGCGCCCAGAAGCCGGCAAUUCCUCCUCAAUCUGCUGAUUCCUCUGACCGCCAAAGCUCCAGCAUUACGAUUACUGAACCUUUUAAAAUUGUGCACGGUAAUUCUCAAAUUUGUGAAAGCACACCAAAUGCAAAACAUGCCGUGCGUCACUCAGGCUGGAUGUGCCAGAGAGGAAGAGGGUCUAGAGUUAGAGUUUGCAUUCUUCUCAUAUAAUGGGGUAUGUGGAACAAAGAAUAGGAGCAAUGCCAUUCACACUUUGUGACGUUUUAGAUUUAGUCAAUGAAGCCUUUUGGUUUGAGUAAUAUUCAUGCUCAUACAUGUCCAUUUUUUGUUUCAUAAAACAAACUAAAAUUAACCAAUCGGUUUGCCGGUCGAGGGGUGAACAAAGUUGUGGAGGAAAAUACGGGACAAAUGUGUCCGCGAUGAAAAGCAACAGUGGCUGUGACCCUGUGCAAUAUUUACAAUGUACAAUGCGUAGCGUAACAGAGUAUGAAUCAGGAUAAUUCAUACAAGGUUCACUAACACCGGACAAUCCAUCAUACGUUAAUAACGUUUGAAAAUCUCACCAAAAAGAGUAAAGCUACAGCACAUUCAGAUGAGCUAGAGGUUGCUGCAUCGAGAGGCUGAUGCUAGGGCUACUUGAGAAGUGGCUUUGCUUGAUUUUCCUGACGCUACGGUGGUUUGGCUGUUCCACAGUUCACCACUUUUACCGGCUGCCUCGCAAGGUUUUCUGACUCGUCAGUCAAGUACCACACGGUCGCAGAUCGCUUUCUUCAACCUCCGUCAGCACAGUCCGUCUAACGUCGGAUGUCAUUGUCUGCCCUGCGUGCUCCGCCAAACAGCCCACUUAUCAAGCGUUUCCCAGCCAAAGUAGUUCUGCCCUAUUUCCUAAAUGGUUGGAUUUCCCUAAUUGCUUUAGUUACUGUCUUCAUGACUCAGUUAAUCGUUGCUUUUCAUCAGAGGAACUCUUGUUUAACUUGACAUUUUGAAAGUAGUCCUUUUUGGAGACUUUUGCACACUCUGUGCAUCGACCUUCAAUAGGGAGGAAGUAAAACGGUCUCUCACAUUUCCCACUUGGACAAAGACGCUCUCCCACAAUGCUUCGGGUAGCUUCUGUGUGAUCGGGAUGUUGUUACCUACUCGUUUAGACUCCACCUGCCGGCAUAAGUGCGGCGGGGGAAAGCACCCCGCUGUGUGUGUGUGUGGUUUAAGGUUGUCUUUGGGAAUGACACGGGAGUGUCAGAGUAACGCCUCAAACAAAGGUCACAGCACACGUCCGCCUGCUGCUAAUGGGAGCGAAGGUGUGUAAUCGGGAUGCUAAUGGAGAGGAUAAUGGCCCGGAGCGACCCCCGCCUCCACCGUAGUAGGGCCGCCACCACACACCAGCGCUCUUUGGGCGCUGGUGCUACCAUCUUUCCUGUUAACGGUCACAGCAUUAUUACACGCAGAGUUAACAGGACCCUGAGCUUGUUAUUACGGUGCGAUUGUGUAGAGUUAUCACUGUUAGCGAGCGAGCGGCCAACGAGCCUCCUGGACCGAGCCUUCAGAGCGCCACUUCACAUCUGUGGUCUGCACUGGCCGGCCCCCUCCCACUGCAAGCCGCUCUGCUGCACGUGCAUCUCCAUGACCGCGUUGGCAAAUGGAGGCUGUACUGCCAAAAUGCAAUGAAUCCAGUCUUGGAACAAGUGGCUUGUUUUGCCUGAUAAUUAAAGAAAUUUUAUUCAAGGGUUCAUGAUCCCCUCAGACAUUAUAGCCAGCCAUUUUUUUUUGUCAUUUCUUAAGCAUUGGUUGUCAUUUUAGAAUGAGACCUGCAAUAUUGAUCUUUCAAGUCAGCAAGAUGGAGCUAGAUCUGUGACUAAUGCAGAUUGUGCCUUUUUGUUCCCUUUUGGUGGGUAAACUGAGGCCAGACAGCUAAUAAAACCAUUUAAUCAACAUAUAAUAUUCUACAUUGAGCCAGAUGCAUUUCUACGUUCUGAUCUGAAUACUAAAUGUCCAUUCUGGGUCCCACAACAGCAUUAGAGCUGCAUGUUUGGCCAUGACUGGAAAGCUGACACUUUAGUGGAUACAAGUGAGACUUUUAAGAAACUAGACAUUGUGUAUAGAGUGACAUGCUGUGACCUCCAGGAAAAUCACAACCUUUGGAACUUUAAAACCAGAGACUACAAGCCUAGAGCUGGCAGAGUGUCUACGGCUUUACCAGCUCUAUAGAAUGAGUUUUUUAGGCAGUUCCCAGAACAGAAGAGCUUGACAAUACAUUACAUAUACAAAUACAAACUAUCACAAAACCCUUUCAGUAUAAUCCCGUUCUAUAUCCAGUGUUACUCUCUCUACGUCCCAAACACACGCAUCCUCACUAAAACUUCAUCGUUGAAACAUUUUUUCUCUGCAAUGACAGUAAGAGGUAACCAUUAUUUUAGUUAAAACAAUUGUUAAUAGCAAAAUUAUUAGUUCCCCAACGUUUUACUCAAAAUCUUUAAUUUGCUUAGUUGCUAAUAACCAAUUUUUGUGAAUAGAACCAAUGAAACUCCAAAAUGAAGUGAAGAGGUGGCGAUAAAGAGCUUCGGCAGCCUCCUCUCAGUCAAAGUGAUCUCAUUCUGUACUGGGAGCACUGGGAGCGCCUUGAUCCACAACAUGAGAGAGUAUGCCACACACUGCUCCAUCCAACCCCCCUCCCCGUCCUCACCAGACCUGCGCCGCAUGACGGCAUGCCCCUAUUUUUAACCAUGCCGUCAUCAGGAUCACUCGUGUGCACGCAACCCCCCACCCCCCACCUCCCCCCUGCGCCCGCCCCACACCCGCGCCGCUGUGAAUCCCAGCUACACACUCAGCGGGGAGUCUGACUCCACUACAACUCCCCAUGAAUAAUUAAAAAGGAUUUCUUAGCAUGCAGUGAUGUGCUGGGCCCCUCCAUAGACCCGGCGAGUGGUGCGAUGCUGGUGCAUCACAGCAACAGGCAGUAUUCAACUGCAGAAACCACCAAGGGCUGUAAACCUUCUAAAGCACUGCACGAGUCACCGAUGGCGUUGACGUAUGUCGGAUGUGUGAAACACUUUGAUACUGAUGGAGAUUCCAGGGUUUUUCCAACUUGAACCAUUAUUGUUUUUUGCUCUCCACUGUAAUGACCCAGGUGGAAGCCAUAGUGUCUCGGCACAGAAGUUUGGCUCGUGGAAAACGUUGCGGUUAACGUUUCAUCAAGUGGUUGACAGCGGGUGGUAGUUUGGGGCAACAUUAAAAUAAGUAUGCUUGUAAUUUAACACACGGUUAUGCAACUAAAAACAUUGGACUCUGUGUGGUUGCGUCACCUGACAUAACGUGGUUAAAAAACACUCAACAUUUGGUUUUACCCGGGGCGCGGGGUGAAAGCCCUGCGGUGGUUCGACCGAUCCACCGACCUUGGAGCUCCUCCUCCCUCCUGACACCACAUCCGAUGCUCUGAGCGUGUAACACUGCCACCGGUGGGUUCAUACAAAUUCCAUUUUGUUUCGUGUGCAGUAUGAAGCUGCGAGGGACUCCGUACUGGGGAUUUGGAGCAUUUCUAUAACCUCCGAACUGAGCCAGCAGCGUGUCGCUCACAGGGAGGGUAAUGCUCUGAAUGCCGUAUGUUGCACCUUUUAGAAGAAAGUAUAAUAACCCCCGGUUCUUUGGCUUCUCUUUUUUGAGGAUGAGUGCACAGGGAGCAGCUAAUGCAGUCAUUUGGAUGUGUAAUCCAGGAUUAGAAAAUGAAAACCAGCUGAUAAGUAAAUAAAUGAUUGUGCUGGCAAGAAUUUGCAUGAGAACUGUUGCAAGCAUUUUCUUUUAUUUCAUUUUUCUCAGGCUCAACACAUGUGGACCUCAUCUUUCUUCUGCUCACACUCCCAAACUCACAGAAAUUCCAUCUGUGGGAGGAACAAUGAAAAUUUCUUUGUGUGUAAAUAAGUGUUAUUUUCAGAAGAGUUGUUUGCACACGGUUUGUGAGCGGUUAGAGUCCUACGUAUUUCAUGUGGUGGGUUCCAGUUCUUUUUUUCCCACACAUGGGUUUUAGUUUUGUUUUUCAUUUAGUUGCCACAGAACAAACUUGUUUGUGUAAUUUAUGCCAGGAAUACACUUUACAAAGUAAUACAACUCAAGUUGACCCUGUCUUUAUUCAAUGGCUUGUGGUGUCCCUGUAAAGGGACUUCUCAGCACUCCAUUUAACCCAUUUCUCACCACAUUUAGAUCUCUGAAUUCUCCAAAGGACGUCAUCUGAGCACCAUUUCCUUCUUGGUCGGCACUAAAAGAACCACAUUGAACGUUUGCCUCGAUUGAGCACCACACACGUCUUUGGUAAUUCAUAUCCCAACUCUUCCCAGUAUUUAUUUAAUAUGUUCAUACAUUCCCAGAAAACAUACGAGUGAUCUGUAUUUUUCUCUCUACACAGUCUCUGGUGAACGGAUAGAAAUGUGCUUAUAUUCUACGGACUAAUGAAGAAUCUGACGUGUAUUCUCUCAAACAAAUCUCCUGUUACAUGUAUUAUAGAAGGCUUUGCAUAAUUUAGACUUGUUUUAUCUAGGGAGCCAAAACGUCAGUACCAGGUCAAAGCCCAAAUUCCGGUAAUUAACGGUUCUUACUUUUCUACAGACUGAAAAUGAACAGUUCAUUAAAUCAGAGAGGACGUUCCCCAUUUAAUCCCUGAUAAUACAACGCGUGUGUGUGUGUGCGUGUGUGUGUGAGAAAAUCCACUUGAGGAGAGCUAGUUAGCACAACAAGCAGCUUGGAGAUAUCAUCAUGAAAACACAACUUUUCAUUUGAUGUACAUUAAGUCUAUGUGUGGAUUAAAUAAGAAGUUAACUCUAGCUUAUUUGCUCCCUAGCUUUGGUCCUGCCUUACGGUUUUACUCAGGUGAUGCAGAGUCUUUGCUAUCCCUGCAGACAGUGUGAAAGCAUUGUAUUAUGUACCAGGCAGAACAGAGGAGCAAUGUGGCUCCGGAUGUAGCAUCAGCUUGCCUGCACCGCGUCACAGACUGAAGGGAUGUAGUCGUUGAUUUAUGAUUGAUUCAGCUGAUUCAUCUUUCUCCCGUCUCAGAAGUUGCUCAUUUUAGAGCGGCUCUUCGUUUUGUUUUCUCUGACGCUGCAAGGACAUAGCUGCAAACCAACUGGCAACUCUCUUCAAAUACUUGCUCAUUUAAGGCUAGUCAAAUGGUUCAGUCAAAAUAGCAAAGUGUGUCACGGAAUUCCAGAAGCACCUAAUUUAAAAUCACCACUGUGUUUGAGACGCACGCACGCUCACAUCUGGCUGCAGAUGCUGUUCCCUGCGCAGCAGGUGUGUGUGGGCUUGUAAUGAUGCCUUCGGAGGCCGGCUGGUUUUUAUGGGAGGACGGAGCACGCCCCACACCUGACUAGACCUCAUUCAUUCACACCCAGUGACUCCCCUCCGCUCCCGCUCACCCAUCUAACAGCGAUGACACAGCUGGUUCACAGGCGAGCUGAAGCCUCACAGUAAAAUCUCGACACAGAUGGAAAGUCUGCUUUUUCAGUCAGCAUGCAUCGACUGAGCAACAUUUAGAAUUCGUCAUUCUGAUAUUUUUGGGGCAGUAGGCACCAACUCUAAAUGUACUAACGUGUUAUUCUCAUUCCGUGACUUAAGACCAGCGGUGAUGGAAAUCAUUAACAGUAAUGCAGAUGGGAUUGACAGAGAUCUACUGUUCAUUGUAUGUAUUUAGAGCAGUCAGAUAUUCCAAAGAAUUGUGGUAAAAGUCAAUAAGAUGUUCAAAUAUGGCCUUUUUGGAAAAGCCACCAGGCAGCAUGGAACAUGAAAAACAACUUUAAGGUAUACGAUUAAGGGUUGCCGUCUUUCACUGGUACAAAUACAAAGACCAAAACGUAAAUGUUGAUAAUGUGAGGGACAGAUUAAACCUAGAAUUCAACAGCAGUGAGGGUGCAGGUCCUUCGAGGCAUAGUGUCAAUUUGAAUGCAUCGAUGUAGCCUGAAUUAGUUCAAAAAAAGUAAAUGAUCUCUUCAUUUGAGGGAUAAUCCAAACAAAUAUUGACUGUUUACUACUGUGCUGAGGGUCUCAAAACGCUUAAUUUCUCACAAGCUAAAAGGGUCUGUUGCCAUUCCUUUGUAGCACUGCGUGUUUCCUAAUAAAAUCUGGUCCUGCUAGUACAAUACGUUCUUGUUCCUCAUAGGAAAAGGGAAUCUCCAAUGUUUGUAUUCUAAGACUUUUUAUGCCCAGAAGCCAGUGAAUCCAAAGGCAUUAUGGCCACAUGUUAAUGGUCCAUCCUCGCUGACUCACUAUCUGAAUCUGUCUUCUGAACAUCCAAAACUUGGAUGCAGCAGCUUCCUCCACGGCUCUCACAAACAAAAUCCUCAACAAACUCCAAUAUGUUCAGAACUCUGCCGCUCCACCCAUUUGGGUAUUUAAAGGAUGGACUUCAAAACACUACUCACCACCUACAAAGCUCUAAACAACCUGGCCCUCUCUACCUCUCGGAACUCCCGACCCAUUGCCUCAGGUCCGCCGAUGCUGUCACCCUAAAGACAUUCAGGACCAAGCGCCGGACCUGGGGCUGCUGCCCCUCCCCUCUGGACGCCCUGCCCUCCUCCUGCCAUCCUUUAACCAUUCAAACAAGUUCUCAAAACCCACCUCUUCAAACUCACCUUCAACCGCUAGCCCCUACACCCCUACACCCCACCCUCCACUGCGUGACUCAUUCCGCACAGU